rnacentral:lncRNA from 1 species
AGAGAAAUUGCACACUAUCAAAAAAAUUAUAAUUCAAUGUAUAACACUUUAACCUAUUUUGCUAGCAUACAUACAUUAUAGGUGCCUCUGGAGGUUUCGAGCUUCGCCGGCGGAGUAUCCUAGGCUGAAACCUGCGGCCGUCUUGAGUUUCUGGUGACACAGCGAGGUAGGUGUAGCGGCAUAGGAGGUUGGGGUCGGCUUUUGGGUAGGGAUCUGUUUAGGUGUCGACUUUCUUCUUUAGAUCUCCGGCGAAUUCCGUCAAGUUGUGGCUCGUGUUCUGGUCAGGAGGCUCCUCUGCUCUAGAUCUGUUCAUAUACCUAUCUUCCAUGUCAUUUUGUUUUCCCGGUGGAGAAACUCUUAUCAAGCGCAGGCGGUAAAGAAAUACCCUGAAGCUUCGAGUAUGAGGUGAGAUGACUAUAGAUAGAAAUACUUCUUUAAAAUAUAGAAAUAUUAUAAAUAUGUUUGAUAUAUAGUAGAAUAUUUACUGAAUUUUGCAAGUAUUUGGAUGGAAAUGAGAAACAUGACUCUUUUAAGUAACCAUAGAGCCUUCUCACUUCUCAGCAACAAGACCAAAACCGCAGAAUAACAUCAAACGUGUGAAAUAAAAAUAGAGACGUGCGUCUCAAGUAAAUAAAGAGACCAUUAAAACCUGGUACUCUUCAACCUCCCCCACCACUUCAUCUUCACUCUCUCCGCUGAACCACCACCUCCUUCACUCCCAAGCUUGCCAAGUAUCAGUUUCGUUUCCCUUAGCCUCCCUCCAUAAUCCUUCUUCCACGUGUCAAACAUCUGUUUCAACCUUCUUAGCUCCCUCUCCGGAUCCAAGUUCGCCUCCACCUGACCAGACUUCACUUCCAUCAAGAACUUUGUGUCAUCACCAAACACCUGAGCUCUCUGUCCGAACUCCUCUGCUAACCUGCUUAUCACGCUUAACCCCACACCAACACUUCUUGUCCUCCCAUGAGUCCUGAAAUCACCGCCGCUUCCUGAUAACUCCGUUGCGUCGCUUGCGUUCACCGACGCAUCAGAGUUUCUCGCUGAGUCCUCAACCUCUAGGCUUUUCUUGGCAAUGGAAAGACUGGACUGCAAUGAUCUCAUUUGCUUUUGCCAAAUCUCUUCCAUUGACUUCAUCUUGGUUUCGUAUUCAGACCACCUGUUGUCGUACUGCUGGAGUCUUUGUCGGAGAAUGUCGUUCUCUUCUUCUUUCUCACGAAGUGCAGCUUCGCUUUUCAGAACCCUGCGCUGAAGUUCUGAAAGUACUGAUGCCUUCACCAGCACCUCGUCUGACUCAUUUCUCUGCGUAAAGAAUUUUAAGUCAAAACAAUGUUCAUUUAUAACCUUAAGUGAGAUGCAAGAAAGUAGUCUAGGACCUUGGUGCCUCCAGAUUUUAGCCAACCAAUAUCCCCAGCACAUCUUCUAACCAGCUCGCCACGAAUUGCUGCAAGUAAAUGAAACUUUUAAUAUCAAAUAUGUUGACGUUACACGGUUUAAUUAACCCUUUCUUACCUGACUGUAUUACAACAGAUGCAUCAACUGUAGCUUUAUACUGUCUCUUAGCAAUCCUUCUCUUAACAUGGCUUUGUAUAGCAGCAGAAGCUCUAUGCCUCCGAAGUAACUCUGUGUAUUCCUUUCUUACCUUUUCUCCACGAACAACUGAAACAAGAGGAUGUAUGAAGAAGCCGUAGUUUAAGUUAAGCUGAAACUGUCUCUACUUAUAUAGAAAUGAGAGAAGGGUAAUACAUGACUGAAGAACAGUAACUCUUCUUUUAUGCUCUCUUAGACGACUCCGUGCUUGGUGCCCUCUAAAACAGCUUUGGAGACGUAAGAUCCCAUGAAGAGUGCGGUUCCUUGUAUCUUCAAGAACCCCAAUCUGCAUAGGUGAAGUAAGAGUUUUUAAUUUGUGGCGCCUUCUAGAGAAAGUCAAGACAUCAGAAGACUAUCUAUAUAGUACCUGGCCAGUUCUGAAAAACAGUUUUGUGUAGCCGACUUGAUACAUCUCUGGCAAGAUGUUGAACUGAUGAAGAAUUGCAACAGAAACACUAAGAGGAUCUUUUGCUGCAAUGCUCUCCAGCAGAAGGAAACCAUACCUAAAGUAUGACAAGGAAAACAACAUGAAUGCUUGAUAAUUGAAAACAUUAUUGUAAAACAAUUAAAGUGAAUAACUGAUGGAGUUUGUCACCUUCUAGCAAAUUUCUGAUGAGACAUUCUGGUAGGAAAUCCAGACCGGGAGAUUCUAACCACCUCUAGAACCCCACAACAUCUUAGCUGCUGUAAGACAAGACCUUGCUCAUACAACCCCGGAGACUGAACAUUGUUUGGCUUUAUGCAGCGAAUGAAAUGUGGUGUCGUGUUCCCUAGACGUUGCAUCAAUUGGAAAAGUUGAUCCUGAAAAAAAUGUAUCCAGCCAUGGUCACUAACUAGAUACUAUAAAAUGAUGAGAAAAUAGAAGAAAGCUGUGUUUAAAGGCAAAAGUGACAUACCUUAAAUUUAGUUGCUACACUCAGUCGCUGGGAGUCAGCUCCACCUGCUUUGUAUAAAGGACCAACAACAGGCUUUUCAGAAUGAAUGAGCAUGCUAGAAGCGAAGGCUUGUGGAAGGUGGCAAGAGCAAGAUGACAAAAGCUUAAUAGAAUCUGAAUGCAGCAAAUCCCGGUUCUUCUCUAGAAAUCCAGUCGUCUCAUAUGUAACCUGAGUUUGGAAAAAAAAAAAAAUGAACCCACAGACCCAACAACAUAACAUGGCUUAUGUUCUGUAAAACAGUGCCACUGGGUUUUCUCAAGCUUAUAUUACCUCUCCAGCAUAAUGAGAAACCGUAAAAGCCUUCCCUCGAUCUCCUCUAAAACAGGAAUUAGCACUUAGGUGUUCCUUAAGCUUGUUGGCAAGUGUCAGAUCUGUGCCAUUCGGAAAUGUUGAUUCCUCAUCAAGAAGCGAGAGCAGACCUAAUGGUUUCUGCACAGAAGUGAUACUUACACUGUGUUAACUUAAUUGACAUGCUUUGGAAAGGAAAAUAAAUAUCAGUUAUCACAUUACCUUUUCAAAGAGACUGAGACAAUUUUGGUUGUCCUCAAAAUCAACCCUUGUCCAGUCAAUGCCAUCCUGUAUAUAUUCCUGAAAGAGCAAAAAGACAUGUUAAGCCCUCAGAACUGUCUGUAACGUGAAUGCUCAGCCAUAUCAGAAAGUGGGCAACUUUACCUCCUGCUCCAGCUUGAAUAGAUGACGAUUAAAGUGUUGCUGCAAUCUCUCAUUUGCAUAAUUUAUACAGAACUGUUCAAAACUGUUCUUCUGCAACAUGUGAAGUAAUUAUUCAGCAACAUUCACAUUGGAACAAAUUUUAAACAGAAUAUGCAUACAUCAAACCAUUUUCUAAUAAGAUCUAUGACCGUUCUUUCUCAUCAUGCAAUGUGGACACAUCCACUAGUUGAUAUUUUAGAAAGAUAAGGUAAAAUCUCAAUGAGAAAAUAGUUCCUAAGCAUUCAGAUUUUCAGCAGAUAGAUUAACGUAGAGAAUUAUGACAGUUCCUCCAGGUCCUCAUCAGUAUUUCCUAUAAGUUUCUAUGGUUGUCAUGAUUUAGUAAUUUGACUUUGAUCUGAAUAUGUAAUGUAUAGAUAGCUUCCGUGAGUUCAUGCAGGAAAAAAAAAAGAGAGAGAGAGAGAGUAAAAAGAAGCAUACAUCAAAUGAUUCAAAGCCAUAGAUAUCCAGAAUGCUGAUGGAUCUGCCAGUCCUCCUUUUUCCCACCGCAAGAGAUUUGUUUAUCUGUUCAACCAGCCAGUCAAAUAGGCAGGCAUAUAUUGACUUUGCUAAAGCAUCUCUUGCGUCAAUGGCCUGAAAUUACAUUUAUAGAAUCUCAGCACACAAAGGAAUAAACAAGUCAUUAUCUCCAGAAGGAAUACUCAUGUAUUGCAAGGCUUGAUGCGAACUAAAUAAGAAGCAUAGAUCAUGACUACAAACGCAACGCAGAAUACACUUUUAGUCACAAAAAGAAAACUAAAUGCAAGCGAUUCUUUGUAAACGGCCUACCUGCGAUAGUGUUAGCUUCUGUAUAAUUGUGUCAUUUCUAACUUUCAUAUUACGAUUCGAUAGAGCUAGCUUUAGCUCAUUGAUGUUGCACCCAAUCAAUUUAGCAACAGUUGACAAACCUGAAGAAAAAAACAAAAGAUACACCACUUAAGUUAGCAAUGCUUUUGCACGUCGCCAGAUAAGCCGCAAAUAUUAACCAGUAAACUUGAAAUAACCAAAAUCAUUUUCCAAGAGAAGGAUACAAUAACUUUAAAGGUGACAUCUCCGCACACAAUAUACAGAAAAGCAGAGAAACUAUCAGUAUCUAAGGAUUGAAGAGCCUUACUUUCAUCUUCCUCAGGUUCAACGUGGUUUUCAUUGUCAAUAGCGGUGAAAGAAACAUUCCCUAGCCAUAGUACUGCUGCAAGCAUUGCAAAUACGCUUUCUUGAUCUUCUUUACUAACGUGCACAAUGUCUAGAGCUUCCUGUAACAGCAAGUUUUUCAAUCAAACGCUAAAUAGAAAGAAAGAAAGAACAAAUUAAAUUGAAUGAAUGUUGUUUACCGUGACAGCUUGAAAACGUUCAGCGUCAUCAACUCCGUUAAUUGAAUAACAAUUGCUUUGUUGCAAAUAUUUAUACUCUUCUGCGCUUGUCAAAUUUAGCUUCUCUGAUUUGACAAUUAGUGGAAUAAAAGAGUCAGAUAUACAAUUAAAAAGUCAGUUAUACCGUAAAAUCUUUUUAAAGAGAAUUGUUAUAAGCUAUUUAUAGGAUUCAGAUUUUACAAAUCAUACCUCUAAGAGUAGGUGAAGCCCCAGCACAAAGCUGGUAAAAUAUAUGAUAUGACCUUUCUCCUUCCGCACAUUGAACCACUCUAGACUAUUAAAGUGUGUCAGAAUUAAAAGAAAAGCAUGGCAAUGUUACGCAACUAUGUUUCGAAGCAGCUAAAACAAUAUAGAGGAGUUUACCUUUUCUAGCAAAACUGCAAAAUUUGAAGAAACAGCAAAGAAAACUAAGUCAGCAUUUGUAUAUGAAAAAAAAAAGGAAAACAUUGUGAUGUAGCAACUACAAGGAUUAUGCUUACAUGUUUGGACUUUAGCACCAGAAAUCUUUCCUGUUUCACUAAAAUGAAUCUCUAUCAGCUUCCCCUGUCAAGUUUAACAUCAAAGAAAUAUUAUGAGAUAGAGGCGCAAAAGUUCAACAGACACAGAGUAAAAUGGGGAUUGAGGGCUUACAAAACGACUAGAAUUAUCGUUUCUCAAUGUUUUUGCAUUUCCAAAUGCUUCCAAGAUGGGAUUAGUCUUUAAUAUCUCAUACUCGAUCCCACUUCCACCUCCAAGAGCAGCCAAGUAUUGCAUUGCUAUCUUUGCUGUCUCAGUUUUCCCUGCUCCACUCUCUCCACUGUACAAAAAAACAUAUCUGGUGAUAAGAAAACACUUACCAGUGCACAAAUAUGUAACAGCGAACUUUAAAGGAGGAAGUUUUAACUAACCUUAUAAUGAUGGAUUGGUUAACUUCAUCUAAAACAGAAAACGAAACAAGAUAAGAAUGAAAACAUAGAGUGCAAUACGUUAAACAAUUACGAAACGUGAUCCCACCUCUUAUCAUUUCACGGAUUGCUGUAUCUGCAAUAGCGUAGACAUGAGGGCUCUCAUUUGAUCUUUUCCUGUAUGCUUCGAUGUUGCUAUUUCCAUACAAAGGAACCUCUUUGAAUGGAUUCACAGCCACUAGAACCGGGCCUGCUUUGGUCUAUCACCAUAAAGAAAAAACUCAGAAAAGAAAUAAACAAAUUUUACUAUAGAAUUCGGAGUACUAAAUUAGCAAAAAAAAAGACUUACAUAGAUCAUGUCUUGGUUGUACCUAUACUCAAGGUUGUACAACACUGCUGGUUCAUUUAAGUAACUUAGUUGCAUGAGAUCAUCUACUCCAUCAAGUAUAUCAGGAUUUGCAGGUACUAGUGUCUCUGAUAUGACUUUUAACACCUGUUCAAAUCAAGAAGAAUCAAACACUAAAAAUAGUAAUCAACAUCUAUUUUAGGGAAUUAAAAAAAAUAAUUCACAUACAUUUCCCUCAGGUAGUUUAACAACAGACUCUUCUCCUGAAGUUGACAACACCUUCCCCAGCUCCCAGUUACCACUUGGAAGUUGGACCCAAAAUUGCAAUACCUGAAAAAAGAAUGUUUUCUCUAAUGUUUGUUGGACCAAACCAAAAAAAAAAUAUCAAUCUUAAGCAUACCUUCUUCCGAGCAUAUACGCUUGUGUCGCUCCACCUGCGGUCCGUACUCUGAGGCAAGGGCACGAUAAGAUCUCCAUCAACAAGUGAAGACACCUCCCCAUUUGAAACGCUGUACGGUGAAUCCUCAUUACCAUUAUCCACUCCCCCAACAGAAUCUCCAGUUCCCUUGAACCCAUUCUUCAAGUGACCAUUUGGUGGAAUGGUCACAGAAACACUUGAUCCAGAGGAGUCCUCAAGGGGUGGUGAAUCAAGGAAUCUAUAAUCCGCCGGCAUCGAUUUAAGUGACUGAACAGAUGGCUUAACCUUCUGGGACAUUUUUCCUGUAGGAGAGAGAGAAGAGAACUGUUUAGUUCAAAAGAACCGAGACCAUAAAGACAAAAGCACUUGUGGUUUGCUUUUAGAAGAAGACAGAGACCAAAGUUUAUAUCGCAGAACAAUAAAGAAGGACCAUACUUUUAGGAGGAUGUAGACUAAAGUAUUCAGUCAUGCACAGUCGCUAUUACAUAGUGUUUCACAAUCAAGCAAAAAGGAAAAGAUUGAAAGAUUAAGCAAUCUAUGGAAAUAAUCUAAAGCGAAAAUGUAGAGACUUUCUGGUUCCCCUGUCUAAAUUAAGUAAAAGCAAUGCAAGAUCCAAUGGAUUCACCUCAAGAUCUCACUCAAAAAUAACAAAUCUAAGUCUUGUUCUUACACAGCUUUUGAUCUAAUGAGAUCUAAAAAAAAACACUCAUCUCAUGAUUUCUAAAAAGGAAGACUGCUUUCACAUAUACAAAUUUUGUUUUCUUGAUUUCGUUAGAAAAGAUCAAGAAGAGUAAAGAUUGGAAGUUGUGAAAUUAAUUACCUUUAAAAAAGAAAAAAUAGGAAACCAAAUCAGGAACCAGUUUUAAUGGUGAAAGACUUGAGAUUCACAAGAAUUUGAUUCAACCGAUGAGAUAGAUCUUGGACAUAGAUACAAACAUUCACACACACUUUAUAACUUUCCGUGAUUCUCUAGACGUAGACUCAGGAAACGAUGAAAUUAAAAAUGAGUAUUAACACUUUGGAGGGGGUCUACAGUAACAAUAGUGAGUAGGAAAAUUUAGAGAGAAGAUGAGAAAAUUUGGAGAGAAAAUCGGGAAGAAGAUGCAACUUCUUUUCUUCUUUCUCUGUUUAGUAAAACUGUUCUCUUCUCUUUGUAAAUUUUCUUCUUUUUUUUUUUUAAUUUUGGUCAUCCGAUUCCGACAGUUUUGAAUGUCUUUUUUGGCCACCACCACCACCAGUGGAAUUUUCAGCAACCUCACGUGGUCAAAAUUCCGAUUAUGCCCUUCUAUAUUUUUAUUAACCGAUUUUUUGUUUUUCAAAUUAUGUGAUAUUACAAAGUUAAAUGUCGAUAAUUAAUGUUUUCAAAUUUUAAAUUAUAACUAAACGGAACUAUUAAUUCGAUUUUUUUCUAUUAUUAUAUCCAUACAAAUGAUUAAAUACGUUACUUUGAACUACACAGUAUAUGAAUUGUAUUUAAAUGAUAACCAUUAUGAUAUCUAAUUUUUACACAUUAAAGAGUACUUAAUAAUCCUAUAGAUUAAGAAGCUCGAGGGGCUAAUAUAAGUCUACCAAGUAAAAACUAAUAAAUUAAUUAGAAUUGGUCCAUGUUUCAACCACAUCUUCUAUUUAUGUAGUCAACUAUAUUAUAUUAAGAGUCUCUUCUAUUAAUAUGUACACCCUGAGCAUAUCUUAGCUAUAUUCGUUCAAAUUUUACCAAUUAAUAAAAAAACUUCAGCUAUUUUUCAACAAGAAUAAUAAUAACUGGUAGUUAGCUAGUAGUAUGCGGAAAGAACAUUUCCUUCUUUUUGGUGCCAAAAGAACAUUAAGAUCAUGAUAAAGACUGAUGCAGCCCACCCCCCAAGUGUUUGAGUUAGUACAUUCUAGGAAACACCUUGACAUUCUGAGGUUGCGAUAAAUUCUAUCUAUCCAUUCCACACUGUACUAUAGAUGUCAAUUUAAGGAUUUGGUACAACAUUUUAUUAUAGACUGAUGGUGCAGAUACAAUCAUUAAAACGAACAUAGAGACCAAUCAUGCCGGAACUUAUUACAGAACAACAACCACGAUUUGAUAGCAAUUACAGUACAUAUUUAAAAAAAGAAACUCACCUUCGUAAUAUACACUAACGAACCGAAAAAAAUAUAAAUACAUUUAGAUAUGUACAGAGAUUUAAGUGAAACCUCUCACUAAAAGCAAAUAUACAGUUUUCUUCUUACAGGUUUUUUGGAGUGUGUAAACAAAUGGCUUCUUUACACGUUUUCUUCCAAUCCAAGCAAAAGAGACAUUUCGGUUGUAACUGCACACAAACAAAACCAAUCAUUGAGUUUAGCUUUAAGGUAGAGAACAAAAACAUGAAGCAACUAACCGCCAUCUUAUGCAAAUCAAUCCCACGAGCUAUGACAACACAUAUGUUCUGACCAGCCACCUCAAUCACGGUUUCAUGGUACUAAGAGGCCUACCCUCAGAUAUAAAGUUUAAAUGUAACAUACUAGACCGGUUAGGCUCAAGCUGGCUUAAUCACCAUAGUAAUUAGUAAGCAAGUAAUGUGCCAUAAUCGAAAGUACAAUCAACCAAUGUUGAAGUAAGAAGUUAUCCUCAAAUAGAUUCUAAAUUCCACAAACCUCCGCUUUUUCAGAACCAAAAUAAAAAACAGAGGCAAACAAGAAGUGUUUAUUCGACAAGUCGAUGAGAAAAUCACAUUCCAGAUCCAGCGUCAAGACAUAAACUUUAAGCUUGUAAGCAAAACCAAGAAACUCAAAACACCACAACAUCUUACUGCAAUGAACAUUUUCCCUCCUACAAAGCUUCAACAUCAAACCAAACCAAAACAAAAGUAAUGAGUUUGAGCAUUAUAUGUACCGAAUCUCUUAUAAUCACACUCUAAUUGCCGAGUCCAAUAAAAAAAUAACUCUAUUUAUCUUCGAACAAUAAAAAACUAUAAAGUAAACGACUUUUUCACACAGACAACAACACAAAUAAAAAACUAACAAGACUGGUCGGAACCAAGAUCCGACAACCACAAACCUCAAUCCAACUCGUCUGGCCUAGUAUCCAUAUCAGACCCACUCCCAGAAUCCGAACCCGCAUCAAGUCUUCUAAACCUCCUCUCACCCUCCCCUCCUCCUCGCCUCCUAUUCUCAUAAUCAACAUCGUACGUACGCAACUCAUGCCUACAAACAGGACACGUGUUACGCAUCCGCAGCCACGGAAUCAAACAAUCCUGAUGGUACACGUGUCCGCAAGGCAUCUCUUUAACACCAACCCCAUCUUCAAACUCAUCCAUACAAACCGCGCACUGAUUCAUCUCCGAUCGCAUCGUCACUUUAACAGUAGGUAACGCGUCGACGGCGGAUUUAGAAGCCGGAGGUGGUCCGUAACGGUUCGGAUCGUCUUCACCUAGCUGCUGGAUCAGAUCCUCGAGACCACCACGCCCAAAGUAAUCACCGUGGUGGUGGUGGUGGUGAUUCUCGAAGAGCAUUUGAACGUUGACGCCGCUUGAUUGGAGCUGCUGGAGGUGGCUGUGGAUGAAGCUCACGGGAUCGAAUGCGUCGGGGUCGUGAUCGAGGUUCGUGAAGUCCAUGACUGGAAUGAAGGGGAGGCGUGAUGAGGGUGGAGGAUCUGAGAUCGGGAAGAUUGGAUCUGUGUGUUCUUCGAGGAAGCCUAGGUUGCAGAGGGGGCAGAAAGGAUCGGCGGUGGGGGAGAUGGUGAUUGUGAUUGUUUGGUUGCAUUGGUGGCAGAAGAACGUCUUGUCCGUCUCCGCCGUGGCGACGGAGGAUUCUGUUGAGUUUCCGGCGGAUGACAUGAUCGGGAAUCUCGGAAAUGUUGGAGAGGAUGAAAUGGGCGGAGAGAGAGAGAGAGAAGUUCAAUCCAAUCUGUAUGAGUUGCAUACGGUUUUGAUCCAAACCAAACAUGCCGAACCGAAAUCGAACUUAACCGUAAAAUUCUCGGUUUAAUUUGAUAGAUUUUCCAGGCGUUCUGAUGCUGGUUCGGAUAUUACGGUUUAAAAAUCUAUAAUCCUCUUAAAUAUUUUUUAUAUUUCUUCAAAUUUUUAUAUUUAAUUCGAAUUUGAAUUGAUAAGCUUCGGUUUCAUAUAUUUUCAAAUAACUGAAUAUCUGAAUUUUAUUUUAAAAAUUCAAAAAUAUUUUAUAUAUAUUUAGAUGACUGAGUAUCUGAAAUUUAUUUUAAAAUCUUAGCAUAUUUUUCGAUUAUUUUUUUUUCCAUUGAAGAUUUGAUUAUAGGUCUGACUGAUAUAUAGGUUUUCGAGGUUUUUUGAUUAUGUAAACACAUAAAAAUCAAAAUUUUGAAUAUCAGUUAUAUUUUUUUUUCCGUCUAAGUAGAUUUUUAAUUGAAAAACGGCCGAAGCCCAGUGAAAGCAUACAGACACCCGAAGGCCCACAUCGAAAGCCCAUAAAAAGAAACCAAACAAAUUAGGCCCAAGCCCAUUACCCAAACACCCCAUUCUCGACAACAAGCGAUUCGCCCUAGCUCAGGGCCCAAACCCGCAACGUCGCCACCACCGGGAGCACCUACGUCGGAGAGGACGCGUCUCACUGGCCAUUACAGGAACAUACAACACUGUGACCGGCCUAAUCCAUGACCUCCACACCCUUUUAACCGCAGCCGUGAGUUACUCGUGUGUUAUCUUUAUCGGAUAGAUCAAUCGCCGUAGCGAGAUCACAUCCGCCACCGUUCGAGCAAACACCCGAGGAACAUCACCGCCGCACAGAACAUCACCAACUUGCAAUAGCCACCUCUCUCUUCCACCCACGAGAGAUCGCCCUCGGUUCUCAACCGACAAACUCAAGAAAAAAAUGAAAAGACAAACCCUAAACCAAAUCUAGAUUAAAAACAAGAGCCGACGAGGUAAGGUAAAGAGAUCCUUCACCCCUCGGAGCACGAACCGGCGACGCAGAGCUGGGUAAGCCUCCACCUCCCGGAGACUUUGCCGACGACGCAGAGCUGAGGAAGCCUCCACCCUCCCGGAAUCUUAAACGGCGACGACGGAGCUAUCAUAGCCUUCGCCUCCCGAAGCAAAAACUAACCUCAAACGAAAAACUGUAGCGACUAACCGCCGUCCUACAUCCUCACUACGAAUCCAGAACAGGAGGAUUUGCCGCCGAUUGAAGCUCUCCAUCAGCAGAACUCUUCCCGGAACAAACCCUAACCCAGAUUCGGAAAUAUAUCGGAAGGGACACCGGAUCGAAGCACACAGAGUAAAUCUAGACUGGAUCGACAAGAGGAAGAGCCACCGGCGCCGGCACGCGCUCGGACGCGCAGCCGGACGCCGGCCUUCUUCUCAGACGCGUUUUCUCUCUUUCUCUCUCCUCUCUCUCUCCUCUCUCUUUCCUCUUCUUCUCUUUCACCUCACUCCAGUGAAUAUCAGUUAUUAUCCUAUCAAAUUUAGAUAUUCAAUUUGGUUCAGAUAUCUUCUCUGACUCAAAACUAAGCCCUACUCGUUGGAGUCAUGGGCUAUAAUAUAGGCUUGGUCCAGUAAAGGUUUGUAGUUUUAUGAAGGUGUUUUGUUUAUUUCUAAAAGUACGAGACCAAAAUUGAAAGAAUCGAAAAGUAGUGGACCUUUAAGAAAAAAAAGUCAUCACCUAGCUUUCGUUCCUAUGACCACACAAUCGUUUUUAUUCUGCAUCAAGCGAACGUCAUCAUCUUCCACUGAGGAAAAGGAGGAGGAAGAAGCAAGCAAUGGAUUGUAUCGUCUCCAGCUCGACGGUUCUUAUCCGAUCACAUCUCACUCCAAUUCGCUCAGCUUCCUCCGUAUCCGCCAAACCUCUAAGCUCAGCAAAAGUCGCGUCCUUCGCGUCUAACCGCCACAUACUCUCGUUCAAGUCCGGUGGUAAAAGAAUCAGAACACUCUCCACCAACGCUUCGAGUUCUACGAUAAGGUGCGGUGGAAUUAAAGAGAUUGGAGAGAGUGAGUUUACCAGCACGGUUCUUGAAUCGGACCGGCCGGUUCUGGUUAAUUUCGUCGCCACGUGGUGCGGUCCCUGCAAGUUGGUCUAUCCAGCCACGGAAGCUUUAUCUCAGGUUAGCUCUUCUUUAUAGGUUUCUUGAAAUCUUGUUGGUUUCUUGAAAUCUUCUUUAUAGGUUUCUUGAAAUCUUGUUGACUUCUUUUUUUUUUUUUUUAAUCUUGUUGACUUCUUCUUUCUUUCUUGUAGGAGUAUGGUGACAGGUUGACGAUUGUGAAGAUUGACCACGACGCGAAUCCUAAUUUGAUAGCAGAGUACAAGGUUUAUGGUUUACCGCAUUUUAUACUCUUUAAGGAUGGUAAGGAAGUUGCUGGUAGCAGAAGGGAAGGUGCGAUUACUAAAGCUAAGCUUAAGGAGUACAUUGAUGGUCUCUUGACCUCUAUAUCCGUUGCUUAAUCGUCACUCUCUGUUUCUCUCCGCUUGUAUUUUCUCAUUCCUCGACGACACUGUUUGUCUUGUAAACACAUUCUCUUGAGUUGUGAUGAUCUUCAUCAACUGUUUUGUUACCAAAUGUGUAAAUCUAGCAACAGAUUAUUCUUAAUACAAGACUUUGAGGUUUGUGCAUUGGUGAACUCGUUUACUAAUAUGAUUAACUGAUAUAAUCCACAUUAGUCCUAGUUACAAGCUAAUUUGUAGGUGAGCUCGCUCUACCUUUGAAUUUUAGAUAACUUUGGUUAUAGGCUAAUUGUCCGGUAAAAUUACACUAACUUGUACAGAUGUGUAUCAAAGUCUCAUUGGUCCUUUCACUAAACAAGCUAGCUUUUAGGUUUGAUUUUACCUUUAGACGUUUGGUUAUGGCCAGUUGUACAUCAAAAUUAUACUAACUGAUACAAGUGUGUAUCAAAGACUUUGAGUUUGAUUUUGAUACAAUCUUUACUAGAAGCAUGACUAGUCAUUGCAUUGGUGAACUUGUUUUUGACAUUUUGUUAGCAUCUUAAGUUCAUUUGGCAGUUAAAAGGAAUAGAUAGAAAGAAAGUCAACUUGAUGCAAAUUAGAAAACUCUGCUUGGAUUUAUUGGAAAUGAAUCAAUUAAAAAAAAGAAAUCAACAUUAAAGACUCUUUUUUUUUGUUACAGUUUCCAUUCUUCUUCUCCUCUUCUGGCCUGCAGAUUCUCAAAUCUUGUUGGCUUAUUCCCUUGAAAAAAGCAACCAAGCACCAACACCUAAGCAAACACCAACGCCUAGACUUUUCUUCUUAAACCUCCUUGACGUAAGUCUCUCCACUUCCUCCAAUAACAGCAUCAUCUGGGACGUAACGUUUCCAGAACGGAUGCGCCUUCCACACCCUUCCCAUCUCUUCAAUAGGAACCCCCUUUGUCUCCGGAAACAAGAAGUAGAUGAAGAUGGUCAUGAUCAGAACCAUUCCUCCAAAGAAGUAGAAGAGACCAAACUUCAUGUGGCAAAGCAUCGUCAGGAAGAACUGUCCAAUGAGGAAAGUGAAGAACAUGUUGACAGAAACAUUGAUGGCUUGUCCCGCUGGUCUUACUUCCAAUGGACAGAUCUCACUUGGUACUAACCAUCCUAAUGGACCCCAUGACCAUGCAAACCCUGCAACGUAAAUGCAUAUGAAAGCUAGAACCCAAUCUGCUGUUGCAGGUGUCAAGGUCCCUGAUCCUGUGGUUCCAAACUUCGCACCGAUCAAGCUUCCGACAAUGAUCUACAAAAUGAUACAUGUUAAGGUGUGCAAGCAUCAUACAGAACCUGAAGCUGUUUUUGUUUUACCUGGCAAAUGAUCAUUUGAAUGCCACCUUCAAGGAAGAGGAGCCUUCUUCCAUACCUGUCAACCGCAUAGAUGGAGACAAGUGUAGAGACAACAUUGACCACACCGGUAAUAACCGCGGAGAUGAGCGAGGCAUCAUCUGCGAAACCAAGAGUUUUGAACAGAACAGGAGCGUAGAACAUGAUCACAUUGAUACCAGUGAACUGUUGGAAGAAAGGAAUCAUAGAACAGAACACAAGCGCUGGUCUGUAUUUAGCUUCUUGGAAGAUGUUCUUCCACGGAUGCUCCACUUUCUUAGCAGACUCACAAGCAUCGCAAAGAUCUUGAAACUCCUCGUCUACGUUAUCAGCUCCACGAAUCUUCUGCAACAUCUCUCUCGCUUGUUCGUACUUGCCUCUCUCGAGCAUUGAGUUUGGCGUGUCGGGCAAGACAAAAGAUCCAAUAACCAUUACAACUGCUGGAACAGCAGCUAGACCUAGAGACACUCUCCAUCCGUUCCUAGCCAUUUGAGAUGUUCCGUAGUUGAUUAGGUUUGCAAUCAAGAUUCCAAUAGUAAUCGCCAUUUGAAAACCAAUGUUGAGUGCUCCUCUGAUCUUGGCAGGAGCCAUCUCUGAGAGGUAAACCGGUGUAGACUGUAAAAAGAACCAGAGGAUUAGCCAUGCAAAAAUCAUAUCAAAACCGGAAAAAAAAACUGCAUAUUCCUUUGUUAUUUUCCUAAAUAUAAUUAUUUCACCAAAUAUUCUUAUACAAAAUUAUUAUACCGAAGAGUCUUUAAUAUUCACUAAUUUAUUCAAAAUUUUAUUUAAUAUGUUUUUGGCUUGUGGAGUCAAAUGAACCAUGUUGAGUCACCUGAUUAGCGAACCCAACACCAACUCCAAGCAACAAUCUACCGAUGAUGAGCAUAGCAACGUUGGUUGCAAAUGCGUUGAAUAGAGAACCUAUGAGGAAAGCAACACCACCAACAAACAUGGAGAUUUUGCGUCCGUACUUCCUUGUGACAGCCGAAGCUGCAAAGGAAGAGACGAGAGCCGCGAGGUAGAGGGAGGAAGUGAACAACUGGAGUAACUGGUUGUCGAAUUUGCAGUAAGCCGUCUCGCGUCUAGCAUUGUGCAUUUGCCUAUCAACCUCCGGGAAAAACUUGCUUAGAAACUCUUCCAUUGAUGUUACUCCUCCUGAAAAAAUAAAACACAUUUCAUUGCAUGAAGAUUUUGAACCGAACCGAACCAAAAACCGAGCAAGAUUUUGCAUGUUGUAAAAUAUAAUAAGCUAAACAACUUUGAAUAAAAUUCAAAUUAAAGUAAAAGUAUGAAAAUAUUUUUUUUAAUUUUAAAACAAGAAAAAUCUUCUAAAACAUUAUAUGUUAUAAAACUGAGGAAAUAUAAAGUUGCAUGUCGGAAACGAACUAUAAAACUAAGAAAAACGAGUGUGCACUCCUAUAAAAUAAGAAGAGGAGUAUACAGACCUGAGAUUCCAAGGUCGUAACCGAAGAGGAGACCUCCCAUAGCGGCCACGAUACAUGUCAUGAUGACAAAACCAGUGACUCCACCUUCAUAGCUUCCUCCUCCACUACCCUCUGAUACAAAUGCUCCUCCAGCCAUUAUUACGUUAUUCUUGACUUAUUAGUUAGUCGUUAGUUAUUACUUAUUGCCUUUCGCUUUGUUAUUCAAACAAAAACUUGAAGCGUUUGAUCUAAAACUUGAGGUUGUGAGCUUCUUAUAUACAAGAUUUUUAGUGAUCUAUUAUUAGGUAUGGAUUGUGAUAUGAGGUGUUUGAGAUUUAACUUGGCUUACGAAUAGGGGAAGUGGUUUUGUUUUUUUUUUUAAUUAUGUUCUUUAAACCCUACUUUAGUGGAUACUUGACUGUCUUUUUAAGACUGUUUCUUUUAUUUUUUACAGACAAUUUGCGCUCUUAUUUCUUUAAUUUUGUUUUAAUUUGCGCUAUUUGUUUUAUUACAAAUAGAACCUUGUAAUAACAAUUUCAUAAUUGAAAUUGAAUGUGAUAAAUAUUUGGAUUACAUUAUGUCAUGGUUUUAAAAAGCGGUCUAGGUAACGAAUCCUCUCUAACCUAAACGAUUUUCUUAAAAUAUGAUUUAUAUGAUUCAAAUCAGUUUAAACUAUUUUAAAUUGGUUUAAAUUAUUCUAAAACAGUUUAACUCGAUUUAAAUUAGUAUAAAUAUGUUAAAUUAAUUAAGAAUCUUAGUAAAAUUUAUAAAUCUGUUUAAUUUCUUUUAUUUUGUAUAUUUAAUUUUGAUAUUUUAUCAGAAUAAUUUAUUAUUAAACCAAAAAUUUAAAAUAUCUUAUAUAAAUGUAAAAUGUAUAUAAAAUAAAUCAAUAAUUCAUUAAUGUCUAGUUCCCGUCUAAGCUCCGAAUAAUCUGCCCAGACACUAGUCUUCUAUAGAACACCUAGUUACUGCCUAGCGAUUUCUAAUACAUUGCUUUAUGUCUUAAGUUUUUUGAACUCUUUGUAUUAAAAUGUUUUUUGGGAAUUUUCUUAUUCGGUUGUAUGAUGGAAUUGGUUAUCUCAGAUCGAAUGUUAUAUAUUUGAUUAAACGGAGAAGUGGAACCCUCUUUAGUUAAGUUAUUUAAACCCUAUUUUAGUGUGGGAAUUGACUGACCGGUUUUUUUGUUUCUUUUUACAAACAAUUUUCGCUCUCAUUUCAUUAAUUUUGUUUUAUUACGUAUUUACAUUAGACUGUAUAAGUAAAAAAAAAAUACCUACCCGAAAAUAGAAUGUCGUAAAAUUUCGUACUUAAAUAUCUUUCCAACAUAGUCAGUUUUUAGGAAUAUUGAUUCUUUGUAUUGGAGAAUCAAUAAUGUUGUUGGUCGAUAUAUUUUUCCUAUAAAUGGUGUGGUACUUUGAAAAGGUUGGAAUGCUAAAAAUAUAUGAUAAUAUUGAUAGGGAUCUUACACAUUCUCAGAUUAGCAGAGAUGGAAUCGGUUUCUAUGAUCGUAUGCGCAUUUGGAAAUUGUCUUACAUACGACACAAAUUGUUUUAGUUGAGGCAUUAAUUUAGGCGAUAAAUGUAUGAUUGUUAACUGUUUUUUUUUAUAACUAGGGUCGGCCCGCCAUACGGGCAGGAUAUUAGGUAUUAUAUAAAUUUGUACUUAACUUUAUAUUUUAGCGUAAAAUGUAUCACCGAUAUUAGGUAUUAUAUAAAAAAUCUAAUAUUUAUAUAAUAAUAUCCAUGUCUAAGAUAUAUAGCUAACAAAUUUUUUAAAUAAAAAGUAUAAAAAUAGACAAUUAUGAAUUAGUAUGCUAUUUAUAAAUGAAACAUUAGUUAUAAUAUUUGUAAAAAAAUAAAAUGAUUGUUAAACUUCUAUGAAAUUUAGAACAUAUACAAAUUAAGAUUGAAAAUAAAAUAUAAUAUAAAUUUGAUGUAACGAUAAGAACUUAUAAAUGAGUUUAAAUUUGUGUACAUUUAAACCAUGAUCUUGCAGAUGUUUGAUUUUAUUUUUGUAAAUAAAUAUUUAUUUUGUCUAAGUGAUAAUAUGUAUUUUAAAAUUUUACCCGUUAAAUAAUUAUUUAAUAAAAUUUAUAAGCAUAAUAAUUAUAUAGUUUAUAUUUUAAAAUUUUAUUUUAUCUCGUAAACCGUCAAUUGUAUUACCACCAUUUUUAGAAUAUGAUCCUUGUAUCUAUUCAAAUGUUUUAUUUUGUUUUUUUUUUGUGGAUCAAAAUUUUAUGAGAAUGUCUAAUAAAUUAUUUUAUAUAUUAUAUGGUAAGUUUGUAAAUAAUUAUAAUGGUGCAUGUAAUAUAUUUAUAUUGGUAAGAAGAAGAAUUUGUUCAAAAAAAGAAGAAGAGUAAGGUGAAUUGUGGGAGAGAAUGAGAUAAAAAUGUAAUUUAUAUUGUCACAUAAAUAUUUUUUGUAUAUUAUUGAUAUUCAUGAAUGUUUAUAAUAUUAAUAUGAUAUAGAUAAGUUAAAAGAUUUAUAUUUAUUUGAUUGUGAAUUUAAUUUAGAAAAUAUUUUAUUAAUUUUUAAAAAGACAUGGAAAGCAUAAAAUUAGGAGUAAUUAUUAGUUCAUCAAUUUUAGAAAAGACAAAAUUACUUAAAAGUAGGUUCAUUUAAUUAUUUCAGUGGCAUUAAACUGUAAAUAUUGUGUAAGUUUAAGGAUUAGUCUCAAUGGGUACUUCUCUUUUAAUAGAUUAGAUUUGUUAUAUAAUUUUGUGGUUUGUGUUUUAAUUUUACGUUUGUAAGAGGUGCGUAUGAGAUAUACUAUUUUAUUAAUUUAAGUUGUUGGUUACUUUGUAAGUAAUUUGUGUUUUAACUCUUUUUUUUAUGACAUCACCAUAAUUAAGUUGUUAUGUCAUUUUCAGUUGAAUUUUUUUAUAAAAAUAUUUUUUUAAAAAAAAAUCACAUUUAGUUAAAUACAAUAACUUUACAUUUGUGUUCACAAUACUUAUAAAAUAUAUUUAUUUUAUGCUUAAAACUAAUUUAAUGUAAUUUACCAUUGACCUCACUAAAUGUUAGUGAUUUAUUAUAUAUUAACAUCUAAACAAUUUUAGUGUUUGUCCAUUUUAAAGUAGGAGCCUGAGUCCGUGUACUGAUCCUUAUAGUUUGUCUUUUAAAUGUUGUUUGGGUUAAUAUGACAUUUUUUUAGUUUAAAAGUUAAACAAAUUUUAAGUUUUGGACCUUUAGUGUGAGGCCCAUAAGUUAAAAGGCUUAUCUAACUAUUCGAGACACGUCCAACAAAUCGGACGCAGAAGAAGUUUAGGAGUUACUCUCUAACAGAUGGCUAGAUUCCCCCUUCUCUGUUUUCUCUUUGCGGCGGCGCUAACUUCAUCCCUGACAUCUGCCGGCGACGAAAAACAUGUAUAUUCGCCUUGUUCAGAUUCCACCGCGCGGUCUGCAAUGGAUUCAUUUUUGGAAUUGCCUUCAUGGCUAAAGAUUUUUUCUUUGGCACCAAUCGUUCUGUUCAGUAUUCUCCAUGCGAUCAUUGCCGCCUCUCGCUCCAUGCGAUCGUCGCCGCCUCUCGCUCAACGGAAACUCUGAGCUCGUUGUGUUCAGACCCAAAGUCGAUGAGAUCACCCUUCUCACCAUCAAUACCUCUUCCAGUUCCUCUAGUUAUUGUCCAGUUCAAUCUCGUCUCUCUGAUCUAUAAUGGUGAAUUUAGGGUUUUGAUUGUAGAUUUUGAUCUAUUGUUGAUUGGAUCGAAGUUUAUAUGCCCGGAUUAGUUUAGUUUAGUUGACUUGUCGAGAUCCAAAACCCAAGUUGAAGUCCAUGAUUCUACAGAUUAAUUGAAAAGCAGAGUAUGAGUGGCCUGGACAGGUGUCGACACCACAUGACUCGACUUUGUGACCUAAUCGUUCUGUUCAGUAUUCUCCAUGCGAUCAUUGCCGCCUCUCGCUCCAUGCGAUCGUCGCCGCCUCUCGCUCAACGGAAACUCUGAGCUCGUUGUGUUCAGACCCAAAGUCGAUGAGAUCACCCUUCUCACCAUCAAUACCGCUUCCAGUUCCUCUAGUUAUUGUCCGGUUUGUUCUCGUCUCUCUUAUCUAUAAUGGUGAAUUUAGGGUUUUGAUUGCAGAUUUUGAUCUAUUGUUGAUUGGAUCGGAGUUUAUAUGUCCAGAUUAGUUUAGUUUAGUUUUGCUACAAGAAAAAAUGCUUUUCUUAGCAUAAGAAAAAAUGCUUUUCUUACUAUGACAUGUCACUGUUAGCGUUAUUGAAACCGCUAUGUCUACCCAAGCUAUAAUAGGUCUCUCCUAUUAAUCAUAGCAGUUUUAUAAAUGCUAUUAUCGCUAAACAAUAUAAUAGCUUUUUUAUACUUUGCUAUUGAGUAACAUUAUAAUUUAAAAAAUUAAUCCAGAAUUUGAUUUAUAAUUAAAAAUAAAUAAUAAUUUAUUAUAAUUUUAUGAUAAUUAAAAUAAAUAAAUUAAAAUGGAAUUACAAUUAAAAUUCAGCUUACAAAACUAAACCAGAAUUAACAAAAAAAAUUAAACCAUCACAUCUACCCAAAUAGGUUUACACUAAACCAAAUCUUAGAAAAAAAAAACCUAAACCUAAAAAAGAGACAGCCUCCACGAGCCUUCCUCUUCCAGCCGCAAUGAGAUUUGCCUCCAGCUGCCUUGAGCCUUUCCUCCUCCAGCCGGCUCUACCAUCUCACUCUCGUGAACUGCCGUAAACCACUGCCUCCUUCCUCCUCCGGCUCUACCUUCGCACUAUCUUUCUCUGUAUUCUCUCGAUCUCCUUCUCCAUCGAUGACUUUUGGGGCGAGUUCGAGAGUGGUGGUGACAGAGCGAGCUUGAGACCAUUGACGACGGAGCGAGCUCGAUACAUUGACGAUGGAGCGAGCUCGAUACAGUGACGACGGAGCGAGUUCGAGACUGUGACGACGGAGCGAGCUCGAGAUGGUGACGACGGGGCGAGACGGUGCGAGCUUGAGACCAGUGACCAUGGGGGCGAGCUCGAGACCAUGACGACGGCGACGAUGUCAUCGAAAGAGACACAAAGAAAGUGGUGGUGAUGAGCGUGACGGCUUUUCGAGAUCUAAAACCCACAUUAAAGCCCAUGAUUUUACAGACUAAAUGAAACGCAGAGUAUCAGUGGCCGAGACACGUGUCAACACCACAGAAGUCGACUUUCUGACCUGGAUGCUGAGGUGGCACAACAGGAAAGAGGCAAACAAUUUUAUAUAUAUAUAGAUUACGACUAGCUUCCAAAUAGACUGCUCAAAGCCAAUGAAAAUAAUACAACAAUGAGGAUUCAAACAAUCUUUUUUGGGGCUCACCAUAAGCAUAAGCCCCAAAAGCAGCAAUACUACCAUAUGAAUGUCACAUUCUGAAUAAAACGUCUGGACUUACCAGAUACAUGAUUUGGAGGUGGAAUGACCGGAAGAAAGAAUGUUGGAACUCCAGAAUUUUCAGGCCAAACUGAUAAAGUAGCUAGCAUGCAGCAACAGUUUUGUAUAAACGUUCAAGUCAUUUACAUACUGCAAAGGGUUGUUUACGAGGUUCUCAUAGACUGCUAGAGCGUACAGACAUGGAAACUUCCCACACGUACAGGUGCAUGGCUCAGCUGGACAGAGACCACGGUUUUGAUGUCAGUUGUCCAUGAGUCUAACGUUUCCAAAGAAUUAAAAUUUCGUUUUUAUUUUUUUAAUUUAGUUAUACAUUUUAUUUGAUUAAUAUUUAGUUAUAUAAUUCAUGUUUAUAACUUUUUACUAAAAUACCUUUUCAUAUAACAAUACAAUCAGGAGCUACCGAUAUUUGCCAAUGGAGACAGAACAAGCAGGAGGAAGGAGGAGGAGGAUCAACAUCAACACAAAUGUUGUUUUUAACUUCCAAAUACAAUUCCACCAUGUGUUUAUACAAGGAUGAAUGCUUGGAAGCUCAAGUAUAGUCUCUAAACUACGGGAGAAUGUGCAUACCUAAACAGGAUGGUUUUACAGCUUCAGUAACUCUAGAUCUUGAUUUCUAUUAUUUUCUAUUUUGGAUGGGUUUGUCCACUACUCUAAACCUCUUGCAGAUUGAAAAAUACUUAAGCUUAACACACACACACAUACUAUUUGUUUAUUACCAAAAGCUCUCUUUAACGAACCGGAAUAAUUUUCACAUACAAACCAACCCAAAUUUUAUUUUGGAUUAAUUUGGUAAAAUUAAGUUGAACCAAAUAAAAUUUAUAAAUUUCUUAUAUAUGUACUAGUUAUUUAUAAAAUUUUAUAUAUUUAAAUUAAUGAUGACAUAUAUGAGGAUCAUAGUAUAAAAUAAAUUUUUUUUUGAAGUUAAGUUUGAAUUUUUGAUUUUGAAUAAUAACACAUUUAAACUUCAAAUAUAGUAGUAUACUAGGUGUUUUGCCCGCGAUGCGGGCUUAAACAUUUUCAUAAUUUUUGAAAAGUUCUUUGUACACUAUAUACAUUAUACUAAAAUAAAUUUUAAAAUAACAUAAUAUUAUAUUUUUAAGUAUAUAAUUAAAAAAAAUAUUUGAUUAAUAUUUAAUUAUGUAAUUUAUGUUUUUAACUUUUUACUAAAAUACUUUUUCAGAUAACAAUACAAUAUUAUCUUUUUUAAUUAUAUUUUUUAAUUUUGGAUAAUUCAAUAUUCUAUUUUUAAUUACAUAAUUAAUAAUUUUAUUUGAUUAAUAUUUAGUUAUAUAAUUUAUAUUUUAAACUUUUUACUAAAAAACUUUUUCAGAUAACAAUAGUAUUUACAUGAAAAGUUUUCCCUGAAAUUUAUUGACUUUUAACGUGAGAGCAUUCUUACUAUUACUAAUUUUAAUCAAUUAUCUAAUCAAAUAAAUUAAAAUUUCGUUUUUAUUUUUUAAUUUAGUUAUACAUUUUAUUUGAUUAGUAUUUAGUUAUAUAAUUCAUGUUUUUAAUUUUUUACUAAAAGAGUUUUUCAGAUAACAAUACAAUAUAUACAUAAAUUAUCUCUUUUUAAAAUUAUAUUUUGAGAUUUUGGAUAAUUCUUACUAUAUUAAUUUUAAUGAACUAUCUAAUCAAAUAAAUUAAAAUUUCGUUUUUAUUUUUUUAAUUUAGUUAUACAUUUUAUUUGAUUAAUAUUUAGUUAUAUAAUUCAUGUUUAUAACUUUUUACUAAAAUACCUUUUCAUAUAACAAUACAAUCUAUACAUAAAUUAUCUCUUUUUUAAAUUAUAUUUUCAAAUUUUGGAUAAUUCUUACUAUUAUUAAUUUUAAUCAAUUAUCUAAUCAAAUAAAUUAAAUUUCAUUUUUAUUUUUUAAUUUAGUUAUACAUUUUAUUUGAUUAAUAUUUAGUUAUAUAAUUCAUGUUUUUAAUUUUUUACUAAAAGAAUUUUUCAGAUAACAAUACAAUAUAUACAUAAAUUAUCUCUUUUUUAAUUAUAUUUUCAGAUUUUGGAUAAUUCUUACUAUUAUUAAUUUUAAUCAAUUAUCUAAUCAAAUAAAUUAAAAUUUUGUUUUUAGUUUUUAAUUUAAUUAUACAUUUUAUUCAUUAAAGGUAUAAACGUUAUUAACCACUCUAACUUUUAACGUGAGAGCUCGAUUCCAAAAAUUUACUUCGCAAAUAUUAGUAUAGAUUCUUUUGGAUAUGUUCCUAAAAAGUUUUUUUUUUGUGUUUAUAUAUACUACAAAUUUUUUUUUUAUAAAAAUCAAAAUUCAAAUAACCAAAAAUCAAUUGAGGUUACCCUUAUUGAAUUGUAAGUGCCUUUAUCCGCGAGAUAUCUCAGUCGACUGCUAACCCUAUUCCGACGAACUCUCCAUCGCCGCUUCACCCUAAUCCCUGGUUAGAUUCUCUUUUCUUUUCAUCCUUUUCUCGUUGCCAUGUGCUGGAUCGAACAUUGUAUCUCUCUCUCUCUCUCUUUUUGUUCUAUCGAGCUCAAGCUUUGAGGUUCUUCGAUUCUUAGUGUUAAAUCUAGUCCUAUGGCUCAUCGUCGUCGCCGAUGUAUAGCAAAUUGUUUCACUCGUUUACACGCUUUCAAGUUUCGUAUCGAUCUAUCAGUCUCUCUAUGUAUAUGCUUGCGUUGAUCAAACAGUUGUGAAAUUAUGCAAUUGAACUUUAGUGUGUUUAUCGUCUACAGAUUCGUGACUUUUGAUGAAAUUGGAUUAAGAUGGCUACGAAUGGAUCAGUCUACGUUUCGAAUCUCCCACUAGGAACUGAUGAGAACAUGUUGGCUGAGUAUUUUGGAACCAUUGGGUUACUAAAGGUAUGGUAUUAGCCAGGUACUCUCAUUAUUUGCUUCUGUUUUUUUUUUAUUUAACAAUCUUUUAUGCACAACACGUCAGAGAUUCUUACUAUUUGGUUUUUGUAGAGAGAUAAGCGGACUGGUACUCCUAAAGUGUGGCUGUACCGAGACAAAGAGACUGAUGAGCCGAAGGGAGAUGCUACUGUUACCUAUGAGGACCCGCAUGCUGCUUUGGCUGCUGUUGAGUGGUUUAAUAACAAAGAGUUCCAUGGUAGCGUUAUUGGAGUUUUUAUGGCGGAGUCGAAGAGGAAAAGUGGAGGAGAUCAUCAGAGUGAGGGUUUUGGAUUCGAUGGAGGUGAUAUUGCUAGUAAGGAGACUAAUGGAGGUGGUGGUGGAAGGGGGAGAGGUCAGGGUGAUUCUUCCGCCAAGCCGUGGCAGCAAGACGGUGACUGGAUGUGCCCAAAUACCAGGUCUGUGAUAUUGGUGAGGAGCUUCUUCUAGCUCUUUGUUUCCGUUAAGCUCUAUAUUUAGUAGUAUUUUUUAGCUCUAGUGUUCUUAUACGAUUUUAUUGGCAGUUGUACAAAUGUGAAUUUUGCGUUCCGUGGGGUUUGUAACCGCUGUGGAACUGCUAGACCGGCUGGUGCAUCUGGUGGCGGCAUGGGUGGUGGGGGCCGUGGAAGGGGUCGAGGUGGAGGUGCUGAUGGUGGGCCACCGGGGAAGGGUGCUUCUACCGGUCUUUUUGGUCCAAAUGAUUGGUCUUGUCCAAUGUAAGCAAUCUGAUUAUGUCUGAAAUAAUAGUUGGGUUCACUUUUGACAUGAUGUGAGCGUUUAAUACUUGGUUAUAAUACAUUGCAAUAGAUAGUUUAUAUUUCAUAGCAAAAGAGGACAUUUCAGUGGCAUGUGGUGCUGCGGCUACCAGAUAUAAAACUAAUCCGUUGGAUGUAUGGAAUUAAAUAAAAGAGGACAUUUAAGAGGCUGCGCUCAAUUUUCUGUGUCAAAUACUAAGUAGUAUUUUAGGUUAAAAUUUAACUAAUAGGCUGCUUUUAUUGGGUUCUUAUACAUAAUGUAUACUUGUGUUGUUGGUACAUAUGCUUUGUUCCGGUCUUUGACGUUUUUAUGCUUUGGUUUUUAGUGCAGGAGCAGUCUAUAAUCCUUAUGUUCUAAUAUUUUAAUUAUCAGGUGUGGGAAUGUCAACUGGGCUAAGCGUUUAAAAUGUAAUGUCUGCAACACCAAUAAACCUGGUCAGAAUGAAGGUGGCGUGAGGUAUGUCUCAAUGUCAAUGAUAAGCUUGCCUUUGUAUUGUUCUUUUGCAAUAUUAGAGCCGAGGAAUAGUAUUAUAGAUGAUUUUGUGGGAAUUUACGAUACAUUUAUAGAUUUUUCGUUCGAUAUAAGUAGUUUUGAUGUCAGCAGGGUAUUCUUGUUCUUCUUUAGACAUGUCUCUGUAGAUAACUGGAAAAAAGAACACAAUGAUCUCUUCUGCGAUUUGACCGAGUGUUUUCUUUUUUACUCUGUUCAGUAUGAGAAAGGUGCUGCUACAUCAAAAUGUUCUUUUCGGCAAUUGAUUUAUCUCACUUGAAAUGUUUUUGUUGUAGUCAAAUUAGAGUCACAUUAAGAAACAUUAAGGAUUUAGCUUAACGGACUGUUGUUCUCUUAAAAUACCUCUACUCAUUCAUUUAUUUUCUCUAUGUAGGGGAGGUCGUGGUGGUGGCUACAAAGAAUUGGAUGAACAAGAAUUAGAGGAAACUAAGAGACGUAGGCGUGAGGCUGAAGAAGUAAAAAUAUGCUUUUGCUGAAGAGUUAUUUUGUUACUUCUUUUGUUGCAUUGAUUUCUAAGCUUUUGUAUAUACCAUUUAACUUAUGAUGUCAUAAAAUUUCAGGAUGAUGGUGAAAUGUAUGAUGAGUUUGGCAAUCUAAAGAAGAAGUACCGUGUUAAAACAAACCAGGCUGACACCAGACCUGUUGUUGCUGCUGGUCGUGCUGGGUGGCAAGUCGAGGAAUUAGGUAAGUUUUAACUUCAACUCAGAGAACUUCUCUAUGCAAAAUACAAGCAAUUUGACACAAAACUUGUGCUUCAGAAACAGAACCUUUAUGCUAUGAACAAAAUUAUUUGGCUUGAUAGGUAUGUGCUGACUGUAGUAAGGAUAGUCCCCAAAGAAUUGUUUUUGUUCGAGUAAAAUCAACAUAUUCUGCUAGAAGUUUGCACAUUUAAGCUUGAGGCUACAUGCCUAUACUUCCCAUCCUUGAGGGGAUCUCCAGUCAGUGAAUCCUUGUAAAAGUUGGUGUUUAUUUUGAGAGCUUUCUUCUUUAACCGAGUCUAUAUAAGAUGAAAGAGAUGAAAAGAUUAUGGUAAGGUCCUAAACUUAGUGCUGUAAUUCUCCCACCCGCGCAACCAAAUAAAAGAUGUUUGUUUUCUGCUUUGCACAAAAAAGUCAGGAUCUAGUGUGUUUAUUCGGUGUUGACGAUUUGUAUCUACCUGUGGCAGGUGUUGAUAGAGAUGGAAGAGAGAGAAGCAGAGACAGGCAAAGAGACCGUGGAGAUAAGCAUAGAGAUCAUCAUAAUUAUGAUAAGGAUAGACGGAGAAGCAGAAGCCGAGAGAGGGAAAGAGGAGGCAAGGAACGUGACUAUGACUAUGACCAUGAUCGGAACAGAGACCGAGACAGAGACUACAGUCGCGGAAGCAGGUACCGUAAUUGAGAGAUUGGUCAAAAGUGUUAGGUUUCAUUAGUCUAUCAUAUUUUCCAAUGUUUUAUCGACUUAUUCUACAUUUCAAUUCUCUGGCUUUUCUUUCUUCUUCUUUUGAUUGUGUGAAGUAAAAAACUCUGUUGGUGCUUCUAGUGGUCGGAUUAUGGUAUUGAUAUGACAUCAUUUUUUAAAGAAAGGAUAAGCAUGCUUACUUUCCUAAAACAUCUAUAUCAUUAUCUUACCAUUUUUACCAGAAGAAAAUAGUAUAAGCGAUGUUUUUUACAAAAUUUGCCGUAUGUUUCUCAAUUUACAGUUAGACUGAAAUGCAUAAUUAAAAAAAGAUGAGUUCAGGAUAAUCCACAAACCAAGAAACAUGUGCAAAAGCUCAUCUCAUACCGUGAAAGAGUAUAAGUAAGCAAAGAACAAGUGAUCCUUUGAUUUAUUCGGUUCCCCACACAACAUACGAAGAUGAUUUAGACUCCAAACUACUGUUUUUUCUCCCACUGAAAGUCUUUUGCAUAUCGCUGGUAAGGUAAUGAAAGCAAACCGCAAGACCCCUUGACUGAACAAGACCACACGUGCUGAUAUCAUGAAGUGGUGAUCUCAGAUAUGAAGGUUAAAUAAUACGUUCUAAAAUUAAUUUCAUUCCCAUCAACGUUAUCACAUUUUUUUCUCAUGAAGUCUCUCAAAAUCAAACCUAGCUUCCUCUAAACACACACACUUGGCAUACAUAUCAAUCAAUGUUGUUCCAAUCAAAAACAAACAUAGCUUCCGCAACGCAUGUGCAAAGACAUCUACUAAUAUCAGACACAAAUUUAUGACUGAGAAAAGCUUAUUCGGGGAUUUCUUAGCGGAAGUUAACAGUUGGAGUUAAUAUACUCAUUGCCGGUUCAUAUGUUGGUAGUAUUGGGCAGAUCUGGGUUCUUCGUACCAUUGGCUUAUGGUAAGAUAAUCCUUGUUUUAUUUGGUUAGAUAGCAUCUCACAAUUCCCAGACUAAGCUAACGUGACGUGACAUGGAUUAUAUAUAUAUUUGUAUUAUUGCUAAGAGUAAUCUAACAUUCAGAAAGGAGAAGGAAGAAAACAUGUGAGCAGUGGAGAUCACGUGAGGCAUAUGGAGGCCAGUUCAUCUUAUAGGUCCGUUGACUUGUACGUUUCCUUUACCCAUGUAUGAUGUUUCCCCCUUGUUUUAUAUUCUGAAAUAAUUUCAUUUUGUGAGUUAUGCAAUUAAUUUUAUGUUAUUUUAUCGAGUAUUUUGCAUGAAAUAACAUCGAUAUAGGUAAUACGUUUCUGUCUUAUCUCUAUUUCCAAUCCUCCUUUUAGUCGUAUUAUUAUAGUUUAUUUGAGUGGGUAAUGUUAGUUGAGAAGUAAUGAACAUUUUUAAAAGGUCAAGCUGAUAUAGUAUAACGUGCAAUGCAUAAUUCAUGUGAACUUACUUUAAACGUUAGUGUUUCUUUUUGGUUUUAAAGAGAGAGAAGAAUAUUUUGUAAUUAACAGAUUAGUAUUGCAUUAUUAUACAGGAACCACUUUUAUAAAGAGACAAUCCAAGUUUCAAACACAGUACUGAUAAGAUCACAAUUCUUUUUGGAGUUCAGGUACUUCAAUCUCUUUCUCAAUCUCUUCAUGUCUCUAUCUUUAAUUGUUAAUAUUGCUUCCAAAUCAAGAUCUUGUUUCUGAUAGAUUUAUUAAUCUUGUUGGAUCUUGCAUCCAAACUAAACCUACAACAUGUAUAAGUGGACUUUAGCUGAUGGUGUUUCUUGUUCUUUUGAUUUGUCUGAUUAUAUAAGCCUGAGGAGAUUUAUUGACGACUCAUGUUCUGUUUACUUACAACUGGUUGGUCGUUUGAUGCAGUGAGAUAGGCAUAUCUUAGAGUUUUUUUUUUUUAAAUGUCGGAUCUUGAGGCACCACUAGUACGUCCAAAAAGAAAGAAGAUAUGGGUUGAUUACUUCAUCCAGUUCCGAUGGAUCGUCGUCAUCUUCAUCGUCCUUCCCAUCUCUGCCACAUUAUACUUCCUCACCUAUCUUGGCGAUGUUUGGUCUGAAACAAAAUCCUACGAGAAACGUCAAAAAGAACACGACCAAAACGUUAAGAAAGUCAUCAAACGACUCAAGGGAAGGGAUGCAUCAAAGGACGGGCUUGUUUGCACCGCACGUAAACCUUGGAUAGCUGUAGGAAUGAGAAACGUGGACUACAAGCGAGCUCGCCAUUUCGAAGUCGACUUGUCUGCUUUCCGUAACAUAAUAAAGAUUGACAAAGAGAGAAUGAUUGCUAGAGUGGAGCCUCUUGUGAACAUGGGACAGAUUAGCCGUGUGACCGUUCCAAUGAACCUAUCCCUUGCAGUUGUCGCUGAGCUAGAUGAUCUCACCGUUGGUGGACUCAUCAACGGCUACGGUAUUGAAGGAAGCUCUCACGUGCAUGGUUUGUUUACAGACACCGUUGAGGCUUACGAGAUUGUUCUAGCUGGUGGGGAACUUGUCCGAGCCACUAGGGACAAUGAGUAUUCUGACCUAUUCUUUGCUAUUCCAUGGUCACAAGGGACACUUGGGCUUCUUGUUGCUGCCGAGAUCAGGCUUGUACACAUCAAGGAAUACAUGAAACUUACUUACAUUCCAGUCAAGGGCGAUCUACAAACCAUAGCUCAAGGUUAUAUGGACUCUUUUGCACCUAGAGAUCGGGAUCCAGCUAAGAUACCAGAUUUUGUUGAAGGCAUGGUUUAUAGUCCAAGUGAAGGUGUAAUGAUGACAGGUACAUAUGCAUCGAGAGAAGAGGCUAAGAGGAAAGGGAACAAGAUCAAUAACGUUGGAUGGUGGUUCAAGCCAUGGUUCUACCAAUAUGCACAAACGGCAUUGAAGAAAGGAGAGUUUGUUGAGUACAUUCCAACUCGAGAAUAUUACCAUAGGCAUACUAGUUCCUUGUAUUGGGAAGGUAAGCUUAUCCUUCCGUUUGGUGACCAGUUCUGGUUUAGGUUCUUGUUUGGAUGGUUGAUGCCUCCGAAGGUCUCUCUUCUUAAGGCCACUCAAGGUGAAGCCAUCAGAAACUACUACCAUGAGAUGCAUGUCAUCCAAGACAUGCUUGUUCCUCUCUACAAAGUCGGUGAUGCUCUCGAAUGGGUCGACCGUGAAAUGGAGGUAAGACCCAAUGAAACAUUCGCCCUUGACCUCCAAAUUUUAAAGAGUUAUUAUAUAUAGAUCGAAUGACUUCUAAAUUUUGAAAGAAAUUAUUUAUAAAAAUUCACAAAAUAUGCUUAUGAAAUGUUAAGAACUUAUUUCUAAUUAUUAUUUUGGGUAAUCUUUUUAAUAUUUUAUAUAUAUUGUUUAGGUAUAUCCACUUUGGCUGUGCCCUCACAAACUCUUCAAACAACCGGUUAAAAGCAUGAUUAGCCCCGAACCAGGAUUUGAGUAUGAGAUGAGACAGGGAGACACAGAAGAUGCACAGAUGUACACUGACGUUGGAGUCUACUACGCUCCUGGUCCUGUCCUGAGAGGCGAAGUGUUCGAUGGAGUUGAAGCUGUGCGAAAGAUGGAGCAGUGGCUGAUAGAGAACCAUGGCUACCAGCCUCAGUAUGCAGUAUCUGAGCUCGACGAGAGAAGCUUCUGGAGAAUGUUUGACGCUGACUUGUACGAGCAUUGCCGCAGGAAGUACAGGGCUAUAGGCACAUUCAUGAGCAUUUAUUACAAGUCGAAGAAGGGACGUAAGACUGAGAAAGAAGUCAGAGAAGCUGAGCAAGCUCAUCUCGAAACAGCCUAUGCCGAGGGGGAUUAAUAGCAAAGUUUAUUACACAUUGUCUUGCUUGUGUGUUUCUUAAAAUGUUUCUUUAACUUGUUUGGUGUACUCUUCUUUAAUAUUCUUGUGCACUUGACGGCUGAUUCUAUCUUGUUUGCGCAUAUUCAUAAUGAUUUCAAACGUAAUAGCACAUAUUACUAAUUAAGUAACGAAAUAUUGUUUGUUGUAACGUAAUAAAUUUGCAGGGAGGUCUCAUUUGUUCCUAAGAAUCGCCACCGACUUUGGCGACGAUAACUGAAGCAUAGUGAGCAAUGUUAGUCUCGCGAUACCUGUAAAGCUCCUUUGGAGACUAUAUCUUCACAAAGCUUGUUGGAAUUUCGGACAAGGUUGCUCAAUGCCACCAGCAGCCUUAUAGAUCGUCUUAGUUGGUUGGUUGGUUUGUAAACAAUAAGAAAAAAUAGCUAGAUCUAGGUUUCAGAUAAUCAGUAUUAUAGAGAUAUAUAAUGUUUAAGAUAUCCCCUAUAUAUUAAUAGAGGAACAUUUGAAAAGUUAUAACCUGAAGUUUGUAUUAAUUAAAAAAUAGCCCCGCUUAGGUGUCAAGCAAUUAGAAUGUUAAUUAGGGUGACGUGUCAGCUGGAAAAUCAAUUGAGAAAUUGGUGAGUCCAUAAUUAAAUGCUAGAGAAUGUUACUAUACCUAUCAAUAGAAAUAUAAUUUGGCUCAUGUAUAAUAAAUACGAGCAUACACUAAAAACUAUCAAUGUAUAAUAAACAAACGAUCAUACACUUAAUUAUAAACCAAGCAUUUCAUCCCUAAUAAAAAAAGAUCAUACAUUCAAGUUCAUACUGUCAGUGCCCCAGUCUCCUUUCGAAAGUAAUCCGUAUGCUUCUUAAGCUUUUUUAACUCAGAACACUUUGAAAACAAGAUGCCAUGAACAAAAAUUAGUUAACCAUAGAACUGUCGAGACAUAACAAUGUUGAUUGUUAAGUAUGAAGUUAUAUGUUGACUUAAGAAGCUUUCGUCUCUGUAACCAAUUGAAGCUAUGUCAAUAAUGUUCUGUAAAUUACGAAGUUUUGAAAAAGUUAAAGAUGGUGGCCGGUUUAUAAUUUUAAUUAGAACCGAUCAGUAUUGAAAUAAGACAUUCAGUACGUAUAAAAAUUAAAUUGUCGCAAACCAGGAUUUUGACUUGAUUUAUGGAAAAUUAUAUUGAAUAUGCUUAAAACUUUUGUCCCAAUGAAAGAUUAAAAAAUAUAUGGGAAUCACUUAAGGAAAACUAAAUAUGUAAUAAUAAUGGUAUGAUUUAUCGUACAAAGUAGUUAUAUUUUCCUUUAAUUAGUAGAGAAGAUAUUUUUACUCGAUAGAGGGUUCGAAAAAUUGUAUCACGGCAAGUCCAUAAGUCAAAUGGAAAAACGUGCUCACCAAGGUUAAACAUUCUAAAAUUUUGAAGGAAUUAAGGUAAUGUUUAAUAAGUGCACAUAUUAGAUUUUUUGUUAAUCAUCAACAUAUCUCCUAUAUAUUAAUUGAGAAACAUUUGAAAAUAUAUAACCCCAAUUUUGUAAUAAUUAAAAAAAACUUCUUGCUUAUGUGUCAAUCAAUUAAGUAGUUAAUUAGUUCUACGUGUCAGCCUCAAAUUAAAAUUGAAAAACAUGUUAGUCCAAUUCGAUUUUUAUAUCUCACUAGAAACAUUUAAUACCAACUAUAUGAUAUUAACUAAAGCAAGGAAAUAACCAUUAUUAUAUCGAAAAAAAAAUAUGUUGACUUAAGAAGCUUUCGUCUCUGUAACCAAUUGAAGCUAUGUCAAUAAUGUUCUGUAAAUUACGGAGUUUUGAAAAAGUUAAAGAUGGUGACCGGUUUAUAAUUUUAAUUAGAACCGAUCAGUAUUGAAAUAAGACAUUCAGUACGUAUAAAAAUUAAAUUGUCGCAAACCAGGAUUUUGACUUGAUUUAUGGAAAAUUAUAUUGAAUAUGCUUAAAACUUUUGUCCCAAUGAAAGAUUAAAAAAUAUAUGGGAAUCACUUAAGGAAAACUAAAUAUGUAAUAAUAAUGGUAUGAUUUAUCGUACAAAGUAGUUAUAUUUUCCUUUAAUUAGUAGAGAAGAUAUUUUUACUCGAUAGAGGGUUCGAAAAAUUGUAUCACGGCAAGUCCAUAAGUCAAAUGGAAAAACGUGCUCACCAAGGUUAAACAUUCUAAAAUUUUGAAGGAAUUAAGGUAAUGUUUAAUAAGUGCACAUAUUAGAUUUUUUGUUAAUCAUCAACACAUCUCCUAUAUAUUAAUUGAGAAACAUUUGAAAAUAUAUAACCCCAAUUUUGUAAUAAUUAAAAAAAACUUCUUGCUUAUGUGUCAAUCAAUUAAGUAGUUAAUUAGUUCUACGUGUCAGCCUCAAAUUAAAAUUGAAAAACAUGUUAGUCCAAUUCGAUUUUUAUAUCUCACUAGAAACAUUUAAUACCAACUAUAUGAUAUUAACUAAAGCAAGGAAAUAACCAUUAUUAUAUCGAAGAAAAAGGAGAAAAAUAUCGAAGAUAGAUAGGAUUGGCACGUAAACGUAAACUUCUAAUAACCAUUAUUAACUUUUAAAUUGCUAAAUCAUGAUAUAAAACUGAGCUGACAUAGUUUUAUUGUAACCAAAUAGUAGGCAUGAGAUUCUUCGGCCUAAACGUUAGGUUUUUAUGCGAUAAAUAAUUUUUUGACCUAAAAUAUUUUUAAAAAUGAGAUCAGUUCAUUAGUAAACAAAUUAUGUAAUUAACAAAAAAAGUUUUAAAAAAUUGUUUAAGAGCCAAAUAUAUUAAUUCGAUCAAUAUUAUAAAUUUUGUUUCCAUACAAUAUUUCUUAAAUAAUUUUCAUAUAAAUUUACCCUGCGUAAGGCGCAGGUCUUAUCCUAGUUGAGAUGAUAAUCCUGGAACUCGAUGUCUAAUGCAUAAGAUGUCCAACUUUCCUGCGUAUCAAAUCUGUUGGCUAAGUCCAAUAUCUCGGUUGUUAUUUGUUUGUUGAUACAGAUCGAGCGUCGAUCAUGUAUGUAAAAUGAUGGUCAGAAUCGGUUAAAUUGUAUUUUUUUUACUUAUUAAUUGUAUAAACCAAACCGGUUUAAGAGUCACCCUUACGAAGAAUAGGUUAGAUUCGAUUUAGAAUUAUUGAUAAAGUAUAUAUAUACCAAGAUUGCCGUAUAGGAGAAUGUUACUAUACUCGUGCAUCUAUAUCUAUAUGUGAUUCAUUAAUAAUGACAAAAUAUUUUGGUAAAACAAACCAACAACGUAGUUAUUAUAGUAGAUAACAUAUGAAGUGAUUUAUUUAUGAUGUCAAAAUAUUAUUUAGAAAUAAAUGAAGUAUGAUUUUCUAGAAAAUGUCCUUUUUUAAAUGUCACACGAAAAUAAAUUGUGACUUUUAUUUUAAUAGAAUAAAUUUGAGCUUCAGUGUGGAUAAAAAUAUCAGGGACGGCAAUUAUAAUGGCAUCUGCAUUGGAAAUCUCCUUUGCCUAUAUCUUGGCACCUACUAACCCCUUUUCUCUUUUUGGUACAUUCGGCUGCACAUUGCUUUGCAUCACAUUUUCCAGUAUUGUUUGGGUAUGCAUCAACACAAGUUUUUUGUGUGGCUGGUCCUCCUUUCUGAGCAGACACCAAUACUCCUGUUAUUAUAGUAAUUGAAAUAUAACAUUAUUUUGUAUUUAAAGCAGAAAAUUAAUAUUUUUGUAAAAUAUAUGUUUUGAGAGUUUUCUUUGCAUAUUUAUCAAAAUGAUAUUCUAAUCAUAUUAUUUCUUAAUCACUGAUCAUUCUUGGAGAAUUACUAAAUCAAUAUAAUGGAACUGGACAUACAAUUUAUAUAAACAUAUAAAUAAUACAGCAUCAAAAUAAAUUUAUAGUAUCAUGUUUAUAUAACAUAUACUAAAAAGUUGUGAAGUAAAUACAUACCUAGUAGAAAGAUUGUGAGCAUAAUGAAGCCAAUAAGCGAAGUUCGAAAAGAAAUUUUCAUCUUAGAUAAUGAACUAAUUGUGUUUUAAAAGAUUAGAAAGACAGAGAAGUAUAUUUAUAGAGGAAUCACAUAUUGAAACAUAUCUAAUUUAAGCUAUGUUUUUUUUAAAUUCGAUAUUGGAGGAUCUAGUUUGACCAAUUUUUUUUAACAAUUUCUAAUUUAUUAUUUAUUUAAUAGAUAAAUAGUUUGGCUCAUUUAUUUGUAAGCUUAUAACACAAAUAGAAUGAAGAUUCAAAUAGUUAACGACCAUUUGUUCAAAUAAUAAUUCCCACAUAAUAAUUAUCAAAAAUAAAUAACAAACCAUCAGCAAACAUUAGUGGAUCAUAUCUUCCAAAAAAAAUAUGGUGCCUACAAAUAUUAACACAGUCGUUACAAAUAUUUGAGGGAUGAUAAUGAUAAUUAAUAAAUUCAACAGAAUAAGUGCAAUUAACACAAAAGUUUUUGAGAGGAAACGACUAAGCAUGCUGCUACUAUUUAAACAUAUUAAGCAAGGACAAAUCUCACUAAUGUAAAAAAAAAGCUUCGUUUAGUUUAAAGAUCCUACCAAAACAGAUGUGAGUCUCCUUGAAGCUCUUCACUAAGAUAAUUACCAAAUUUGGUGCAACCUCUUCUAUUGAAUUUCAUAGCUACAUGGAGGUGAUGUACCAACAACUCAUCCUAUUACCACUUGUGAAGAAUUUGUUGCUGCAAACCACUACAUGGAACAAUCUUGAAGCACACUAUGUCAAAGCUAUCAUUCGUAACUUCUAUGAAAAUGAUGUCAUUAAUGGUCUCUUUCAAUUAAAUGUAGAAGCUGGUGGUGUACAUAAAGAAUCAACAUAUUUUUAUGGAGUUCUCCUACUAUGUACUAGAAUAAUGGAAGAUGGCGAGUAAAUACUCCGCUAAUCUCAAUUGGCUCGAAUACACAACCUUGAUUAACGGCUGAUGUAACAACAUAAAUACAUCUUUCCAUGGAUCAAGCGUGCCAAAAAAUAUAAGAUAUCUCAAAUCUUUGAGGAAGAUGAGACCAAGCAACCUUUAUCAUCUUAAUGAUAUGACAAAUACAUGUGCAAAGUGCUACUACUAUAAGCAAAUAGUGAAGUUUGUCUUUAUGAUAUGACAACACCACAUCUCAAAGAGUUGUUGUGCUGUUAUACGAUGAAAACAAACUUUUUCAUUUGCUUAUAAUAGAAGCAUUUUCAAGAGUUAGUUGUGUUGGAAGCUUUACUAUUCGAAUUUCAAAUUUAACAAGUCUAUGGUUCACACUUCACACCUUUUAGACGAGGUUGUUGCAGCAUUUUCCUAUAUCCAUGUGUAAAUUCUACAAUAAUGUAUAUUUUCUUUUGAAAAAAAAUAAUGAAUUCCAAAACACAUAUGGCAGAAUCUUACAGAAACCAUGCCUUCUUAAAUAACAAUUUUCAAAUGAAAAAAACACUUUCAAUUAUUACACAUUUAAAAUGACUACUUAUAAUUUAGCAAAAAAUAAGACUACUUAUAAUUAAAUGAGGUUGGCAGCUCAGGCUUCGAAUGGUAAAAGCAGUUCAAACAUGACAGAUCAAGCAAAUCAUGCAGAUCAAGCAGGACAACUACAGAUCAAGCGGAACAAGUGCAGAUCAAGUGGAUCAUGCAAGAAAGAACCAUAUCAAAUAAUUUAUUAUAACUUAUGAAUGACAAAAUCAGCUCAAAACUAUAUAUCAUAUAUUAAAACAAUAAAAAUGACACUUAGAUAUCUAAACAAAUAUCUUAGAUGGUAUAGGAUCGACCGAAAUGCAUGUAAAUGUUUUAUAAGAUACUUAUACUUCUUUUAUUUUUUUAUUUAUAAAAAUUAAAAUUUAUAUGAAAAAAACAAUAAGUAGAGAAUGAUAAUUUUGUAUUGUUAAAGUUGUAAAUAAAAUAAAAUAAAAAUAUUGUAUUCAUAAAACUAGAUAAAUAUAUUUUUUAAGUUAUGUGUUGUAACAAAGUUAUUUAUUGACCAAACAAAAAAAAGCAGAUCAACACCACCAAAUGUUAGCGGGUGAGAUCUGCAUGCAAAUCUCCUGCUUUUUUUUUACAAAAAGAUAAAAAAUAUUGAACUGCAUGCAGAUCUUCCGCUUGAACUGCUUUUGCAAAAAAAAAAAAGAGUGAAUAGUGAAUGCAAUGCGGGAGAACUGCAUGUGUAGGAGAAAUACAUGUGCAGGAAAACUGCAUUUGUCCCGCUGCUCCUGUCCUCCAUUCGGACACUGAGUUGGACGAAACAACUCGCCAUGUGUAAAAAGGCGUUCCAUAAUGAUUCAUUUAUUCCAUAUAAGUGCGACUACAAAUCAGUUCUUUUAAACAAGAGGGAGAAGAAAAUCACUUGGGCGAACUCAGUGACAACACAAAACUCCCAUGCGUUUUCAAAGGAAUAGAGCAUUUCAAUAAUAUUCCCAUGCUUGAGCUUCCGCAGUAUCUGAAACCAUACAAACAAACAAAUGUGGUUAAUUUAUGGAGACGCCACUAAUGUGAAACGGUGAAGGCAUAGAAGUUUCUAACCUCAAACAAUUCACCCUGUGAAACAUGUUCCAUCAUGAUUAAUUUAUUUCAUCUAGGUGUGACUGCAGGAUUCACAAUUCAGUUCUUUUAGAAUCUACAAUCGACAGGGAGGAGAAGAUUACUUGGGCAAACUCAGUGACAACACAGAACUCUCGUGCGUUCUCAAAGGAGUCGAGCAUCUCAAUAAUGUUCUCAUGCUUGAGCUUCCUCAAUAUCUGAAAGCAUACAGAACACAUUAGGAGAUACGAUACCACAUGAAUGUGAAUUAAAGAAGUUUCUAACCUCGAUUUCUUGUCUUAGACUAUGAAUAUCCUUGUCACUCUUUCCUUGUUUCAUGAUGAACUUCAUCGCCACCGUCAAAUCAAAGUUUGGAGCCAAUCAGAAGAGAUUAACGAACAAGUUAACCACAGCAAUUUACCUGGCCGUCUUCCUUUGUAAACUCUCCCCAAAGAGCCUUCACCGACGAGCUCGAUAACAUGAUAAUCCUCCACGCCCAUAAUCUGAGCACGAUCGUCUUUUGAAUCUGCCGCAUAAAGCAACGUGUUAGCUUCCAACGCUAUAUAACGGCACUGUCACUAAAACUGAGAGAGAGUCUAUGUCACAUUCAAUCGCAUUUCUAAACUAUGUUGCUUUCCGAUUUCAUGUUUAGGAUAAGGUACUAACAGGAAACAUCUAAGUAAAGCUAGAGAUGCAGAUUUCUAAAUCCGAUUAGCAAAAUAAUCAGACCUUAGUUCAGAUUAAACGGGGAAAUCGAAGGAUGGCUCGCGAAAGUUAUAAAUUAAAUUUUGCUUCUAAAAGUCGUGAACAAUGUUUUAAAUUUUAUUGCUGAUCUUAUCAUCUUCCCGAUUUUUUUUGGUGAAUUUUGUCCUCGAACAAGUUAUCAAUUAAAUUUUGCUUCUAAAAGUUGUGAACAAUGUUUUUUUUACGGAGUGGUUAACAUGAACCCAAUAACUUCACAAACAUUAAAACCUUUUUAUACAAUACGAAUAUCUACCUUAUUCUCUUGACUAGUAGUGGUUCAUGAACUUCCUGUUAAAUAUAGUAAACUAAAAAAACUAACGUCAGUGGAAACACACACACAAGUAAGUUACGCUUUGAAAUUUUCUACAAACAAGUUAUUCUUUUUGCGUUUACUUAAAAGAAAAAAGCUAUUCUUUAAAUUUUUCUACAAAAUAAGUUACUACUUGAAUGAUUCCGUAGAGUUAUAGCAACGGCGACGAAGUCACAAAAACAUGUAUACACACAUCGACUGAUAAUGUUACAGAAUCAAACCAUAAACUAAUAAAAACAUUUCUUGUCCGAAAAAGAAACAAAUACUACAUUUUUGUGUUUGUUUUAUAGUUUUUAAAUUAAUAAUAUCUGACGGAAAAGGAAUCGGAUAAUAUAACAAAUCUAACGGCAGAGAGUAAGAGAGAGAAAGAGGUGUUUGCUGUGUUUGAAUGAGAUUAAACAACGCCGCUCUUCUUCUUCUCAAAUCCUCCUCUCCGCCUAGGGUUUUCUCUUCCACUCUCCGCCGCCCUUUUCCCUCUCGCUCCCGCUUCAGCUUCUCUUCUUCCGCCGCAGCCAUGCCUGGUUCCGAACCAUCAUCGGAGAUUCAAUGGCCAGCCAAGACCGUCAGGGACACGUAUUUCGAUUUCUUCAAAGGGAAAGGUCACAAGUUCUGGCCAUCGAGCCCCGUUGUUCCACACAACGAUCCCACUCUCCUCUUCGCCAACGCCGGUACGUAACUUCCAAUCGCUACAAUCAGAUUAAUCUCGUAUUUUGAUUGUGGAGUUGACUAGAUUGCUUUGUGAUCUAUUCACUCUUAGUUGAUUAAGAGUUUGUAGAUUAGAAGAUUCAUAUACUGUCUCAAAUGUCAUGUUACUGAUUCUCUUAGCUCUGUGUAUAUUUGUUCAUUGUUAUCGAAGCGUUUGGAUCUAUUCAUUCACUCUCAAUUGAUUAAGAGUUUGUAGUUUGGAAGAUUCAUAAACUAUCUUAGAUGUCAUUUUCUUGAUUCUUAGUUAAUUUAAUACUUCCGUUUCAUUUUAAUUGUCGUUCUAGUUUUACGUGUUUAUGCAUACAGAUUAAGAAAACGUAUGAUUUUGUAUAUUUCCAAAACAAAACACAAUUACCUAUACACUUAACCAUAUUUCAACCAUAGAAAAAAAAAUCUUAUUAAUAAAUUUUGAACACUUAUUUUGAAACGAAAAGUUUUCGCUAUAACUCGAAACGGAGGGAUUAUUAUUGGAGAUAAAUUUAAUUUAAUUUAAUUCAAUUUAAUUACUCUGUUUUUUUUUUCAAAAGGAAUGAACCAGUAUAAGCCAAUAUUUUUGGGAACGGCGGAUCCGAAUACGGAGCUCAGCAAGCUAACUCGGGCGUGUAACACACAGAAGUGUAUUCGUGCUGGUGGGAAGCAUAAUGAUCUUGACGAUGUGGGGAAAGAUACUUACCAUCACACCUUCUUUGAGAUGCUGGGUAACUGGUCAUUUGGAGAUUAUUUCAAGAAGGAAGCUAUUGAGUGGGCUUGGGAGCUCUUGACUAAGGUUAGUUAACAAUUAGCAUCUUGUUUUGAAAUACGCUGUGGUUCAAAGAGUACGUCGUGGAGUAUUGUCUCUCUCUCCCUCCUACGACAGUAAUGUCACAGUUUUUUUCAAUUUUUUUUUAUUGGGUCGUGUGUUUUGAUUAAGAUCCAUUGCAACAAUAUGUCAUAGUUUUGUUAAGUGAUUCCUUUUGUUGUUAUUGAGUGAUUGAGUUUAUGUCUCAGGUUUAUGGGCUACCGACUGAUCGAAUUUAUGCUACCUACUUUGGCGGGGAUGAGAAAGCUGGCCUUCAACCUGAUAAUGAAGCUCGAGAUAUAUGGCUUCAGUUUCUCCCACCUGGACGUGUCCUCCCUUUUGGUUGCAAGGUAUGUUACUUUACUACUAUAAAAAAAAACAGAUUCUUUUAUAUGAAAUCUGCUAUAUCUCUAUUCUCUAUUUCCUAAGGUUUUUUCAGAAGUGCGAGUGUUUCUUGUAUAUAUUGACACUUGCUGUCAAGGUUAAGCUUGAAUGCAUUUGUGGUAGGACUACGCUAUCAAGUUAUAGUGAUUUCCAGUGAAGAAUUUUGUGUAAAAUGUAAAACUAUGAGUUUUCUAUUGCUACUGUUCCUUCAUUUAAUUUUUGGUGACACUGCAGGACAACUUCUGGGAAAUGGGAGACACAGGUCCGUGUGGACCUUGUACUGAGAUUCAUUAUGAUCGUGUUGGCAACCGUGAUGCUGCAUCCUUAGUUAACAAUGACGAUCCAACUUGUUUGGAAAUAUGGAAUCUUGUGUUUAUUCAGGUACGAACACUCUCUUUCCAGAUUUGUAAUUUAGUUCCAUUUUAAUAAUUUUCAUCUAUGUAUCGUGUUUGUAUAGAGAAACUCUACAUUACGUCUCUAGUUGCAUUGUUUUUGCUUCUUUAUCUUUGUUAUUAUAUCCUCAAUUGUUUUCUCUAACGAGGCCUGUUACUAUAUUUUCAAAAUAGUUCAACAGAGAGAGUGAUGGCUCACUAAAACCUCUCCCUGCUAAGCAUGUCGAUACUGGAAUGGGUUUCGAGAGGUUAACUUCUGUUCUUCAGAACAAAAUGAGCAACUACGAUACAGAUGUGUUCAUGCCUAUCUUUGAUGACAUUCAGAAGGUAAUUUGUGGAACCUUAAGGUUUUAUGACAUUCUGUUAAUUUCCAGUUAGUAUUCUUACGGUUAACGGUUCCUCUUUCGUCUCAUUUAGUACUAUCAUCGUUGUUGUUAUAUGACAAAUGGAUUAUGAGUCCUGGUAAUUCUGUGAACUCUAAUCUUAGGCUAUGUGUUCACUGGGAUUUUACAAUAAUUCUCCUUUUAUGCACACAGUCAUUUGUUUUGGAAUGUCUGAUUUAGUGACUUUGGAGUAUAACGAUGAAGGGAUCAUAGUACUGGUAUCCGGGGGAUUAUUUCCUUGUUAGCUGUGGUUUUUGUCAUGUAUUUUUAUCAGUUAGAGAAGUUAAAAAGAGUUCUGAUUAGUCUUUUUCCCCUAACUGUUGUGAAUGUUCAUGCUUUCACAUUUUUAGGCCACAGGAGCGAGGCCAUAUUCUGGAAAAGUUGGUGUGGAAGAUGUCGACAGAGUUGACAUGGCUUAUAGAGUGGUUGCGGAUCAUAUUAGGACACUAUCAUUUGCUAUCGCAGAUGGCUCUCGUCCUGGUAUGGCCACGAUUUCUUGUCUCAUUUUAUACAAACGUCUUAGUAUUUGAUCAUUUAUUUUAGUUCUUACGUCUAAUUAUCCAACGAGAAGUGCUUUUGGUUUAUUUAUUCUUAAUUGACAUGAUGGAUUUGUGCUUUUUCUUCCUCAGUCAGCAUAUUAUGAUAAGUCUAUUCUUUCUUGUUGGUUAACAAAUACCAUCCAAUGUACACACUCUUGCAGGUAAUGAGGGCCGUGAGUAUGUUCUACGGCGUAUCCUUCGCAGAGCAGUUCGCUAUGGAAAGGAGAUCCUAAAAGCUGAAGAAGGUUUUUUCAACGGGUAGGAAACCACACUUGAUUGUCAUUGCAUGGGUUGUCUCAAUAUUAUUUCGUUGAUGCUGGAACAUGUUUAUUUUUAUCUUGCAUCUUUGUAAAUGCAGCAUGUGUUUCUAUACGCAUAUCAGCUCCGUCUGUGUUAGACACUAAUUAGUUUGCGCUUUUAACAUGCAGACUCGUCAGUUCUGUUAUUCGAGUGAUGGGCGAUACCUUUACAGAGUUGAAGGAACAUGAGAAGAAGAUCACAGAGAUAAUAAAAGAAGAGGAAGCAAGCUUUUGCAAGACUUUGGCGAAGGUUAGGACUGGCUCAUCUAUUUGCAGCUCAAUAUCGAUAAUGCCUUUUGUAUAUAUUAUUUCCAGUUUCGCCCUAAUUCAGUUUACCAUAAUUUCAGCUUUCCUUUUUCUGAAAGAUGAAUUGUUUUGAUAUGUUAAACUUUAUAGUGUCUAUAAGAACAUUUAGGUUGAUUAUAUUAUUUUCAUGGCAGGGAAUUGAGAAAUUUCAGAAAGCUGGACAGGCAGUUCAGGGGAAUACAUUGAGUGGAGAGGUACUUAUCUAACUAUAUCUGUGUUGUAUGUUAGAUGUUGCAGUAUUUUCAUCUGUGAUGUUUGAAUUUCCAUCUCAACAUACCGUUUUCUCUUUGCAGGAUGCUUUUGUCUUAUGGGAUACGUUUGGGUUCCCAUUAGAUCUCACACAGGUACUUAGGUCAUUCGUAGUUAUAUCUAAAAGUGUAUGCGUUUCUUUAUAACUCUCAUUCUCGGGUUUCAGUUGAUGGCUGAAGAAAGAGGGUUGCUGGUUGAUGUUGAUGGCUUCAACAAAGCCAUGGAAGAGGCGAGGGAAAGAUCUAGAAGUGCCCAGAAUAAGGUGUUUCAACUUUUCUCUCUUUCCUUUGAUGUUAAAAUUAAGUGGGACUAUGGUCAACGUCAAAUUUACAUUUAUCUAUUGACUGAUCUUCUGAUGUCAAUUUUUGGUAGCAAGCUGGUGGUUCCAUUGUUAUGGAUGCUGAUGCUACAUCAAAAUUGCACAAGGCUGGUGUUUUAGCAACAGAUGACUCUUUUAAAUACACUUGGUUCAAGGUUUGUCCUAUUUAUUCCAGAAAAUUUGAAUGUUGGGCCUGUACUGUACUUAUGUUGGGGUAGAAAGAAAGAAAUUAGGGUACAGAGUAGCAUAUGGAUUUCACUUAAAUUAAGCCUGUGCUGAGCAAAUGUCCUACCAAAUUUUGCGACAGGAUCACGAGAGUGAAGUAAAGGCUAUCUACACUGGCUCUGCUUUUCUGGAAAGUUCAGCUGCUGGCGAUAAUGUUGGACUAGUUUUGACGUCGUCUAGUUUCUAUGCUGAGCAGGGUGGUCAGGUGAUCCAUUUUAUUUGAUAGGCACUUUAUUUUUCCGAGUGUUCCAUUUCUAAUCAUACGAGUGAUGGCAUGAAAAGGAGUUAUGUUCAUCUUGGAUAUAUGUACCUGAUAGUAACACCAUUAACACUGUCAUGUAAGAACUGCACUGUUUGAAUAUACGUAUCAGUUGCAAACACCAUGCAAUUGUUAUCGUCGGUUUUGGAAACGAAUAUCUAUAGUCUGUUUAGAGCUGCAUAUAUAUUUUAGAUUUCACAAAUUCUUAUAUGUAUAUAAAAUUCGUGCCCUUGACAUUUUGCUCUGGCAAUAGAUUUUCGAUACAGGACUUAUUGAAGGCUCGUUUGGUACAUUCAACGUAUGUAAUGUCCAAAUAUUUGGAGGCUUUGUUCUUCAUAUUGGUUAUCUCUCAAAAGAAACUGGAGUUGUAUCUGUGGGAGAUAAAGUGACUUGCAAGGUAUCGCUCUGCAUCAUACAGUGUUUGUCUCAGUCACCAGCGUAUUUGGUACUACCUUAACUGUUUGGAUAUCCGUCUGUGUAGGUUGACUAUGAGAGGCGUAAGCUCAUCGCUCCUAACCAUACUUGUACACAUAUGUUGAAUUUUGCACUGAAGGUAUUGUUUCUGUAGUUUAAGUUACCUAAAGGGUAAUUUCCUUUUUCUUAAAUUGGAUCUCAAAACAUUCACUUUCCAUGAAUUCAGGAAGUGCUCGGGGAUCAUAUUGAUCAGAAGGGAUCAAUAGUUCUUCCUGAAAAACUGCGUUUUGAUUUUUCUCACGGUACAUUCUUCAAUACGUAUUUUUCAUAUGGAUAUGGAUAUGGAUAGUCUCUUAUAAUUGUCUAACGGUUUCCAUAAUUUCGAGUAGGCAAGCCGGUUGAUCCUGAAGAUUUAAGAAAGAUCGAAGCCAUAGUGAAUAAACAGAUCAAGGAUGAACUGGAUGUAUUUUCGAAGGAAUCAGUGCUUUCUGAAGCCAAGCGAAUCAAAGGUUUAAGAGCAGUGUUUGGUGAAGUAAGCUGUCCACCAGUUCUCUUGCAAUGCGUUUUUAGUUUGUUUUCUGUGAAUCUAAAACGUUUUCGCUUCUUCUGUUUUUAGGUCUACCCUGAUCCUGUUAGAGUGGUGUCGAUUGGGAGACGGGUCGAGGACCUCUUGGCUGAUCCCGAAAACAAUGAGUGGUCAUCACUUUCUUCUGAGUUUUGUGGAGGUUGGUUUCCGUGGGGGAUGGUUUUCUGGGACCUAGAGAUUACUUUUCUGAAUUAGAGUAUUGAGUAUAGUAUUAUUUUGGAUAUCGCAGGAACCCACAUAACAAACACCCGUGAAGCGAAAGCUUUUGCUCUUCUAUCAGAAGAAGGAAUUGCUAAAGGUAUUCGUAGGGUAACUGCUGUGACUACCGAAUGUGCUUUUGAUGCAAUGAACGUGGCGUCCUCACUUGAAAAAGAAGUCGAGGAUGCAUCCAAAGCGGAGGGGAGUGCAUUGGAAAAGGUUAUCUCUCUUCUCUCGUUUCUCACAAUCUAAAAAAUUAUAAUAAGUCUUAUUCAUGUCAGACUUAAUGUGAUCAUUUUUGAAUGUUGACAGAAAGUUGCUGCUUUGAAAAGCCGGGUAGACUCGGCAAUUAUGCCAGCGGCCAAAAAGGCAGAUAUAAGGGCCAAGAUUGCUCUGCUUCAGGUAAUCUCUUUCAGCUCUACAUUGAGGAGCUUUAUUCUGCAUCUACUUUGCAAAGAACCUUCGGCUUGUGUCUGGUAACAUAAGUAUUAAAGUGGAUAUAUUCUUUUUUACAUUGCAGAAUGAAGUGAGAAAAGCUCAAAAGAAAAUAGCAGAGCAGAACCUGAAGAUAUCUGUGAAAGUAGCAACAGAGGCAGCAGAGUCUGCAGCAUCUGAUGGGAAGACAUUCUGCAUUAUCCAGCUUGAUGUAGGUUUCGAUGCAGCUGCCGUGCGAGAAGCUGUCUCGAAAGUUAUGGAAAAGAAGGUAAAUCUCCAUUUACCUUUACUAACUACUCCUUGAAAAGGUAAAGAAAGUUAAAUAAAAGUGUUGUUGGUGAAUCUUGUAGGGAAUGUCGAUAAUGGUGUUCAGCACAGAUGAAACGACCAACAAGGCGGUUGUGUGUGCGGGAGUUCCAGACAAAUCUGAUAAAUUCAAGCAAUUAGACGUCACUGAGUGGCUUACUACUGCAUUGGGUCCUCUGAAAGGGAGAUGCGGGAAAGGGAAAAGUGGUCUUGCAUCUGGACAGGUAUGUGCUAAUUGAUCUCAAUCUAAAAUCCGUCGGUGAAGUAUAUGGACAUAUAUUGACUCUUGAGACAAGGUUUGUCCUAUUUAUUCCAGAAAAUUUGAAUGUUGGGCCUGUACUGUACUUAUGUUGGGGUAGAAAGAAAGAAAUUAGGGUACAGAGUAGCAUAUGGAUUUCAAAGUGAACGCAGCUUUGGAUCUGGCUGCAUCAUUUGCAUCACUGAAACUCAACUGAUUGAUGUGGAGGUGAUUACAGAAUCUGUGUGGUCUUGGACAACCUCUACUCAUUUGAUACCAUUGUAUACCGUUUUACUCAUUUUAAGAUCUACUGUUCUCUCAUUUCUUGUGUCGAAUUCGUGGUACUUCUUAGUCAGUCAAAGUUUUUUUUUUUUUGGUAACAAUGUUAAAAGAGUCAAAGUUAGCAAUUGGUGGUACCUCUUUUGAGCCAAUCCGGUGAUGGUUCUACUGGUUUGGUUUUAUAUUUCAAUAAUUUAUGGAACAUAAAAGCUGUUCACUCGUUUCUUUGGUUUGAUAUGGUUUCAGUUCAGAUUUUGUUUUUCUAAAAUAUUUUUGGAUUCGAUUGUUUUAAUUUGAAAAAAGUAAAUUAUCGUAAAUCCUUAAAAAAAU